rnacentral:lncRNA from 1 species
AUAUGACAACAAUGUUACUUGCAUGAACUAUCAGCAAUGCCCUAAAGCUGCAGGCAGGCAAAAUUUUGGGUGUCUGAAAAAAGUUGCUGUUACCAAAUCUAAAAGCAGUUGCUUGGCAAAACUAAAAAUAAUAAUAUCUAAAAGCAGUUGCUGUUACCAAAUUAUGCAUUUAGGUGUAUGAACUGCUUCCACAACAACGGCAGUAGCACGCCAUGUACACAAUACAGAUCCCGCAAUUCCCCUUCCAGUGUUAAAUUUUUGGGGAACAUUUCAUCUCCUAAGACAACUUCAGUACAGUCUAAAUAAAGAAGGGUUACUUCAUAAUGUUACAAGGAAUUGCAAAGCCUUGGUGUUGCCAGUAUGUACUACUCUACUCCCUUUACGCACUAAUAAUAUCAGAGAAGCGAAAAACAUUGGCUGACGCUACAAAAUAAGCCUGGUAGUCAAAGUUGUUUUAGAUGAGAAUAUGGGAUCAUCCCACAAAUGGAUGAACAAAACAGCUCAAGCUGAUGUUAGAAGAAUAUAAAGUGCAAGAAUACUGAAGCCAGAAAGAUGGAAGGCCACCUGCGGCUAAUGUGGUACCAUCUUUCAUAGCGAAUACAGCUCCAAAUUCUCGCUCGUUACAUGACUAUAAUGAAGACAAUCAUCAGUUCCUGCUUGUAGCUCCAUUACAUGAUGAUGUACCCAAUAUGCAGUUUUAGGCUCGAGCUCAAAUUUCAAGUAUGUUAAAAUAAUUACCGAGAACUGCAACAGGCAGCAACACCAGUGUUCAGGUCAAAACAUGAAGAAAAAUGCUAAAAGGAGACACACAAAUUGUUUGCAGAUAAUAUAGAAAUAUAGAUUCUUAGAUGAACAGGGUUCUUGUAAAAAGGGAGCAUCAAACUUCAGGUCGUGCUGGUGUGUUUGCUCCUGAAACAGGUUCAGGACGUCUUGGGGAGUUAAUCCCAUUUCCCUCUCUUGGCUUCCGACAUUUUGCAAUUGCACUUGUCACAAUAAUUAGGAGCAGCAGGAUUACUACAACGCCGCCAACUAGUGCAUAGACAUACACUGAAGUCCUCAAUUUGCGGCAGCUUCCCGCAGCAAAAGCUGUCAUCAGAGCCAACAUAUCCAGUAUCAUGAUCAAGUGCAAUAUUCCAAGUGGCACAGCCUUCCUGAUAGAUUUACUCAGCAGAAGCAUGAUCACCACAAUGGAUGCCAUGAAUGCGAAAGAAUUGAACCAGAAGAAGAUCUUGUACCGUCGGUGAUUAAUAUCACGAAGCACGGGAUUGCCUGGUACAUGGCCCUCAUCAUCAGACCAGAAUCCACCAGGUGGGUUCAGACCAGCUUGGUAUGCGAUCGAUGCUGCUAAAAUUGCAAGAAGCAUCAGAUACUUGUGUCUCUUUUUAACUUUUUUUUCUUCGACAACUGAAGCUACUGGCCUCACGGGAGUGAUUACUCGUUCACCCUCCGCAUGAAAGAGAAGAUCGUGUAGAAAUACUAGACACUUAGCCAAUGGUCUUCCUAGUGUGCCAUGCAUUGAAGAGAGCAGAACUUGAAUCAGAAGUGACACUAGAACUGCCAUAGCAAUGAUGCUCAGAUAUAUGGACUGUUUAAUAUUUCUGCAACUUCCUGCAACAUAGGCAAUGAGGAGGCCAAGCAAGCCCGCCACCAAACACACUCGCAGUGCAUAGGACUUGAUUCCAUACUCACAGGAUUCCUUAUUCACAAGUAAUAUUGUGACGACCACGGACGACACAAAUGAAACUGAAUUUGAGUAGUAGAACACAUCAUAGCGUUUUGGAUGGGUAUCAUGAAGGAUUGGAUUGCCCGGAGUUCCCGUGGCAUCCUUGUCAUCAGACCAGACACCUCCUGGAGGGUUCAUGCCAGCUUGGUAUGUGACAGUCACAGCCAAAAUAGCAAUGGUCAAUAGCAGAUUACGCCGCCUUCCCAACUCCUUCUCACUAGUAUCACCCCCAGUCUGGUUGUCGCCUGAUUGACGCGGCACUGAGCAAAAAUGACUAACUGAGUGCUUUAGCAUCUCUGCCACCUGCCUUCUCCAUUCUGGAGGAAUUAUAUGUACUGCUAUCAAGACAUGAAUGAGAACAUAAGCAAGUACACUGCAUAUGAGCGCUGAUAUGAAAAUAGUCUUCUUUGCCUCCCUGCAGUUCCCCACAGCAAAAGCUCCGGUUAGGGAAAGUAGGACCACUAUCAUCGUUAUUGGCAAUGCACGCCGUUCGGUGACCUUGUUGCUCACCAUCUUGUUCAAGAGCAAAGUGAUCAUGACAAUGGAUGCCACAAAGGCGAUUGCAUUGAGAUAGAAGAAUGCAAUGAACCAGCGAUGAUGGGUGUCCUCAAGGAUGCGAUCAGCAGCUGAAUGAUGAUCUUUACUUAUUGACCAAAAGCCACCUGGUGGAUUCAGGCCUGAUUGGUAUGCCAGAGAUACUGCAAGAAUGGCAAGAAGCAGCAUACAUGUGCGGGUCUUCUUCAGAUGCUUCUCAGUUCGAAUGUCAUCAGCAUUUUGAUUGGGUACUUGAUUGCUGUCAAUAUGUACAUUCUCAGAAUGUAUAGGAUGGUCAUCACUGCAAAGAAUCUCAGUACUAGGGUUAUUAUCUCCAACCAGAUUGUUUUGUUCAGCAGAGUCCGCACUGCCAGUGGCUUCCACAGGUGCAGAGAGCCCUUCAUCCACUAUGUCACUACUAGUGUCUCCAUCACUCUGCCUGACUGACAUAUUUUGCUCAACUGAAAGAGCAGUCAUGUCAGGAUCAUCAGGUGAAGAUUGCUUCCCCAUACUUGCAACUUUCUGGUUAGCUGACAUACCGCACAUGCUAUUUUCAGUUUGCUGGUGGCUUAGUAAUGGGUACUCCAUGUUAGACACAACAUCCUUGACAUGUUCUGGUCGUUGACAGUUCCCUGCAGGAUGCUGUGAGCUGGACACGUCCUCCUCUAUGUUUGCAACACACUGGACAUCUGGAGACUGGCACUCCGGGUUGGACACAACGUCCUGAAUAUUUGUUGAUUGCUGGCUGUUCCCUGAUGGAUGCUGUGUGUUAGGCACAGCCUCUUGAACAUCUGAAAUUUGACUUUUUUCUGCAGGUACAUGCAACUCAUGGAAUUCACCCUGUCUGAUAUUUGAAUGUUGCUCAGGGGUAUUAACUUCUGCAGGUGCAUCAGUUGAACAGGCUGGAGAUUGAUGAUUCCUUGCCACAGAAUUCCCCUGCUCUGCAUUGAUCGAUCUGUGGUCACGAAAGUUCAACGAAAGUGCACGGCCCCAUUUUUUCACAUAACACAGGCUGCUUGAUUUGACCUUUCGUAGCCAAUUUGCUACAGGUCCCUGAACAAAGAAUCCAACUAAAACUGCGAAGGAUAUCCAAACUAUGAAGAAAAUAGACACCACAAAGAAUGAUGUUGCUACCUCUCUACAGCAUCCUGCAGCAUACGCAGCAAUUAGGCACAGUAGGUCCACUACCACACAUACAAUCACUGCUUUGGUCCUUAUUCCAUGUCCGCUCAGUUUUGGGCUCAGAAUCAGUAUGAUUAUGACCAAAGAUGCCACGAAGGAAGUUGAAUUGGAAAUGAUGAAUAUAUUAUAACGACCAAGGUAGUUAGUCCGGAGAACAGAAGUACCCGGAUGAUGCUUGUAAGGAGGAAAGGCCAUAUGCACCUUAUUAGAACCAUGGUCAUUUUCAGCCCAAAAGCCGCCCGGUGGAUUCAAUCCUGCUUGGUAUGUGAUAGUAGCAGCAAAAAUUACAAGCGUCAAAAUGAACUUGCGAGCCUCCUCAACGGCUUUCUCUAGAGGGAUGCUCUCUUGCCUGCCAAGGGAACUCCGUUGGUUUAGAACACUAUUUAUCAUUGUCUGCAGAUUCUGUUUCAAUUCUCUUGGAAUAAACCUUGUGGAUACUAGGGUAUGGAUCCCAACAUAUAUGAUAACAGCAAGGACUAGAACCAAGAUGUAAAUGGAUGACUUGAGUGUCCUGCAACUUCCAGCAGCAUAAGCCCCCAGCAGGCUGAAUAGGUCCAGUGUCAUGGUCAAUUGCAUUGAAUGGAGCCACAUCCUCUGAUUUGUCACACUCUUGCUGAGAAGCAAGAUGAUUAAGACAAGAGAUGCAGCGAAGGCUGCUGCAUUGCAGUAAAAGAACACCUCAUAUCGUCCAGAAAAGCCAUCAUGCAUGACAGGGUCACCAGCAUCAUGGCCAUCCUUGUUUAGUGUCCACGAUCCCCCUGGUGGUGUUAAUCCAGCAUUGUAUGUCACACCAACUGCUAGGACUCCAAGCAGUACCAAAUAUUUACGAUAUCCCCACAAGAGCUCAAAAGCAUCAUUGAUCCUGGAGCUGGAUUCAUGGCCAGGGGGUAAUAAAUUUCCGCUGGGUACGACAUUGGGUGUUUCACUGUCUGCCAUGUGGUUGCUCUCUGACUGAAAUUGCAAGUCUCAGGCUUUCAGUUGCUUUCUAUUCCUCCAUCUGGAGCAUCGGGUAACAGUUUCUUGGAUGGAGAAGAUAUCUGAAGGAUUCAAAGAUAAUUCAAGGAUGAUUCUGAACAAGAAAAGGCAAAGAAGGUUGCUAGGAAGAUGGACUUGGUGAAGUCUGUGUCCCAAAAGAAAACAACACAAAAGAGAGCGCGUCAAAGGCUAACUUGCCUGCUAGACCCCAACAAUAUGAAUUAUUUUUUCAAACUGUGACCACCAUACGAAUUAUUAGCUCAUGUUCACAGACUUCUCCAGAAAAAAAAGGUAGUUAAUGUUGUACUAAGUUGGCCCCAAUCAACUAUCAGAGUCUAUACUGGGUUGGUGUUAAAAGACGAAAGCAGAUUAUCAGUUUAUUAAAAUCUUAAAAGGAUCAACCCCGUUGUAUAUACUGUAACUAGAUGAAUUUCCUGUGUCUACAUAUUACAAUACAUAUGUUCUUUUUUGAGCAUAGAGUUCUAUUGGUUAUACAAUUUUAGUGUUUAUAGUUGGAAAUUAAUUGUGUUUCUCAUCCAACAACAAGCUAUCCAUGUGCCAGAGCCAUGAGUUGGUUGCGAGAUCUUAUGGGUUUCACCUCUAGCCUACCCCGACUUGUUUGGGACUAAAGGCUUUGUUGUUGUUGUAUCCAACAACAACAUCAUAUACAUGAUUGAACUUUACUGUCAUAAUCCGACCCCACCAAAAUAAGUGAUCUGGAUAUUUCCCUUUGUUUUUCUUCCAACUGCUAUUACCACAAAACACACAUAAGACAAGUAGUAAUACUUGUUGGUGGAGACACUAACAGAUUCUACAGGGUAACUAGUAAAAUUAAUUGCAUUCAAUGGUAAGUUACACGCAUUUAAGAGAAAGUAAAAUACUAUACCUGGCAUGGAAAGCAUUGCAAUGCUCAGUCACACGGGAAGGCUGCCCUCAUUAGCCAUAAACGGUUGCAAGUGAGCUUGUAUCCAGAGCGAUAACCAAAAUAGUGGUCCAGAUAUUUCCCUUUGUUUUCUCUGAAUACAUGGAUCUGACUGCUGUCACAAAAAAAAAACACAUAUAAAUAGGUGUUAGUUCGUUGGAGAACUAGCAGCUGCUUGUUUUUUUCUAGAUAAUGCCAGAUUAUGUUUGGUAACUAGUAAGACUAACUGCAAAUAGGGAGGUUCAAUAGGCGAUGGAAAUAAUCAGUGGCGGACUUAAGAUUGUAGUGUUGGGGGGGUGUCACACAUUUCAUCUGUAAUGUAUGAACAACAUAACUUUAACACAUCCGUUCAAAUUUUGUGAAAAAUACACUAGAAAUUCUAUAAUUAAUCUGGAUAUCAUCAUAAAUUUAAAAAACAGUCACAAGACAUGAUUUAAAAUUUAAAAACCUACUAUUAAGUAUAUAUAAGAUAAAUUACUUUACAUUUUACUGAGGGGCUGCCAUGACACCCAUGGAACCCCCAUUAGAUCUGCCCCUGGAAACAAUGCAUCCAUGUCUAAGAACCGAGCACAGGAAGAGAAACUGAGAAUCGUACCUGAAAGGGGAAAGCGGCGAUGCAAUGCUCCUCACAUAGACAUAGUCACACGGAAUGAGCUACGCGCCUAGCCGAGGUUGCAGGUUUGAGCAUGUACCCAGAUCAGGGUAACUAGUAAGACUAACUGCAAGCGGAGAAAUGACAGAAAAUUGGCAAUGGAACUUAUGUAUCCAUGUCGAAGAGCCGAGCAGAGGAAGAGAGGGUGAGAAUCGUACCUGAAAUGGGGAAGCUUCGCAAUGCUCAGUUGCUCGCUUGGAAUGGCUGCCCUGUUAGCCUAGCUGAGGCUGCGGCUUUGAGCUUGUAUCCAGAGCGACGGCUGCUGCUCAGACUAGUGAGGGACACCUUGUGUGCUUCAAAGACAGCCAGCAUCAAUAAUGUGUGUGAAUNNNNNNNNNNNNNNNNNNNNNNNNNNNNNNNNNNNNNNNNNNNNNNNNNNNNNNNNNNNNNNNNNNNNNNNNNNNNNNNNNNNNNNNNNNNNNNNNNNNNNNNNNNNNNNNNNNNNNNNNNNNNNNNNNNNNNNNNNNNNNNNNNNNNNNNNNNNNNNNNNNNNNNNNNNNNNNNNNNNNNNNNNNNNNNNNNNNNNNNNNNNNNNNNNNNNNNNNNNNNNNNNNNNNNNNNNNNNNNNNNNNNNNNNNNNNNNNNNNNNNNNNNNNNNNNNNNNNNNNNNNNNNGGUGAAGUCAGUUAAACAUAUAGGAAAGAAACAAGCUAAGACCUCACAGCAAUGGUGAGGCUAUCAUCAUCAUCUCAUAGCUCAUUAGGUUGGAGUUGGUCCCUGUCAUAUCAAGAACAGUCGGCAUCCAGAUUAAACAAGGGAGUAUAUGAUCUCCUGAUCUCCUCAGGACCACUUUGGAGUUACUCCAAAAGUAAUGAACGAACACGCACCUCGACGGUUAAAUACCCCGGCAUCGAGCUGGGCUGCUGAGUAAUUUGGCUUGGAACGCAUAGAUAAUCAGGAAUUAGGCAGUAGAAUACCUGGUAUCGUACCAGGAGGCAGUGAAAUGGGAUCUGUGGACAGCGAUGGCAAGCCGGAGAGGGUGUGUUGACUGCUUGACUAACCAUCAUCGCAGAAAGCCGGAACGUACUACCAACUACCAUCAUCAUCCGCUUGACUCCGGCGAAGUCACCUCCGACCUCCCCCUGGCGCCUCGAGUGUCUUGGCUCUUCUCCGGCCAUUAACGCACGGCAGUUAACGGCUAAGGGUGACGGGUUCCACUUCCACCACCGGGGCACUGGCCACGCUAGGUAGCUAGGUAGCUAGCGCCGCUGGUGCAGUCGCUAGUACGGUCGGCUCCGCUGCCGGCGCCCCGCUGGCCGCUGAGGCAUUUGCUCGAACACCGGACGCGCACUGCGCACAGCCGGCCGGGCCGGACGCAGCCAGGGCCUAGAGCCUCGUUGGGCGCCAGCGUGCAUUGAUCCUGUCCCGUCCGACCGGCGCUGGGGGCCCCCGUCGACGUCGAGAACACUAGUCAUUCGUGCGGACGUCACAAGCAAUUCAAGUGAUGACGUCAGGUCUCGAGUGAACAACUCGUCGCAGCCUCCGCCAGCACCGCUCUAUUUUUCCGUGGCCACGCUUUUCAGUGCGCCGCUCGUACACAAAGGACUGGAGUGGUGCGUUUUUCUCACUGAGAAAGUGCAGGAAUCUAGGAGUAGAAAAACCGUCAAAAGUGAACCACUACUCGCUGUCUGAUCAGACAUGUGCGCCCUUUCAGAAACUGAUCACGUUUAUCCUCUUCUUCCCUUGCCUCGUUUGGUAGAAGAGUAUUUGAGAGAUUUUGGGAGGAUUUGAUGAAUCCCUCUCUUUCACCCAAUCCUUUCUGGUACACAGGGAUUGCUAUAGAGGGUUUGCAAAAUUAGUAUAUACUAUAACUAAAGAUGCAAUUUUUACAACUUCAAAAGCUUCAAAAGCUCAUAGAAGAAAUAUACUUGCAACAAUGGUGCAACUAGAUUACGCAAAAUAACAAAAAAAGCUUGUAUGAUCUGUUGCAUGUACUAUUAACUGUUCCAAUGAAAUUGUUACAUGCAUACAUGCCACGAUCCAAAUGAAAAAUACAAGAUGUUCGAUCAACGAAAGUCAACGGUUCAUUACAAUAUAAAUUUGAUGGGCAAAUGCUCCGAGACAUGUUUGCGGGCUGCACUGUGUGAAGGAGACUUGUGGCAGCGAAGUGGUCACCCGUCUUCCGCGAGAUCAGGUGCCUAUAAAAAACAGAUGAAUUGGUCCAAGGGUUAGAUGUAUUUUGAGUAAAUGAUAUUAAAGCUCGCACUGUGAUCUUGCCGCUGAAAACAAAAUUCAGUGUAAAGUGACCCUAUUUGUACAUCUCAUGUUAUCUGUUGGCACCCAAACAUCAGAUCAAAAUAAUUAACAGAAAAAGUAGUACACAUGUACAGCAUGAUGAUGGAAUUAAACCAAGACCUAGGUCAAUGGUGAAUUCGAUGAAAUCAUCAAAGGCAGAAGCACAAGGUUCAUAACAAACAAACAAAAAAUCUCAAGCAGAAUGCAGAGUUAAAAUUCAAACAACUGGCAUCUUCCGAAGUGAAGCAAAGCACAUUUGAAACUAACUAGAAUACGUCUGGACUUAUAAAAUUCUUAGAAUGUGUUAAAAGCUCGCAAUGAAAUAUUGCCCUGGAUGUAUGUAUGUUUAUUUCCUUCAAAUUCAAACAAGUAUUCAAUGAAGCUCGCAAUGUGGACUAUUUCCUUGCUGGCUAGAAAGAGCACUGCAAAGAAACUGUAAUGAAUGGUCAGCUACUGAAGAUGAGAUAAUACAUCCUCCACUGCCUCUCUGGAUGCAGUCUCCAAGAAAGAUAUCAACAACAUAAACCCGACUCCAUAGUUGAAAUCCUGUUGGGCAAACUUAUUUAUUUAUCUGACAUUUUUAGGCCAAGUUGCACAAAAAGAAAGAUUUUGCUAGUAGUACUAAAGUACUGCUUUCUAAACCAAACUCUAGAGUCCAGCACAUGGAUGGAACAAGUACAUUCUGAAACAAGAAGUACAGUACAACUUAGGGUCAGUUCUUUUGCUAGCUUUUUUAGGCUUCCAGAAUAAGCUGCCCCCUACCCAGCUUAUUCUAGAAGCUCAACCAAAAAUUUCUUUUUAAAAGCCUACUAGUCAAGUCUUAACUACUAGGCUUCUAAAAAAAUAAGUUUGGUUCAGCUUCUAGAAUAAGCUAGGUAGGGGGCAGCUUAUUGCAGCUUAUUCUGGAAGCCACCAAAAGAACUAGCCCUUAAAACGGCUUCUCACUACAAGUUGGCGCAAGCAGAUCAGCUUAAACCUGUUGUAUCGCAUACUCGUGUUGUGAGUUGUGACAACAUAAUCAAGCAACACUAUACUGCAAGGUCCAUACAUUUUAUCAAACUUCCAAACAAGCUAACAACAAGAUUAUAUACCAAACAACAUAUUUCACUGCUUUUUCGAUAAAGGGCGAUUUUAUUAUCUCAUAAUGUAGCAUCAAGGGGAUACAAAACAUUAUGAGUAACACCCGGCCUCUGCAUAACUGAGAUGCACACAGCCAAAUCCAAAAGUCUGACAAAAAAAUGAAAUAUAAACCGACAUAUCGGCAACAGUAAAGUCCUAUAGACCGACACUAUGCCUGUGUCGAAGGUGGUGGUGGAUCGAUCCGGAGGUUAUGCUGCCACCCAUGUUGGGAAAAAACCUCCGUAGCCACCUGCUCCAACCGCGUACACACCGCCUUGAACAGCGAUUGGUGCUCCGAUCGUUGUAGCAUAGACCACGUAUGAAGCGAGUGCGUACAACGGAAAAUAACCUGCAGAGGAGAAGCAUUUUUUCCAUUAAAAACCAAAUUGUUUCUACAUAGCCAGAGCGACCAAAUUAAGGCGUACACUCCCACCCUUAUAAGCGCUUUAAACCUAUUUGGAAUACCGUCCAACCAGUGACCAAAUAUAUUGGCAACACUUGUGGGCAGAUAUAAAUUUGAUGCUAUUUGGAUGAUUGACCACGUAGAACGUGCAAACUUGCAUUGGAAAAAGAGGUGUUUGAUUGUCUCGUCAUGAGUACAAAAACAACACUUCUUACUCCCUGGCCAGUUGCGUCGUGCGAGGUUGUCUUUGGUCAACACAACUCCCUUACGAAGAUACCACAUGAAAAUUUUCACUUUUAGUGGAAUCUUGGACUUCCAAAUUUUCUUGUUAUUACUCAUUGGUACCUCAGAAUAUGUGAGCGCACGGUACAUAGAGUCUACUGUAAAAGACCCUGAUGUAGUAAGGUUCCAGCGAAACACAUCCCGACCUUGUGUCAGGUUAAUCGAAUCCAACCGGGACAAAAGAUUAUGCCAUGACAUAAGUCUGGGGCCAAUCAAAUCCCGCCUAAACGAAAUGUUCGGCGGGGAUGAACUGAGCACGUGCGCAAUAGUGUUGUUCUUAUCGCGAGCAAUGUUAUAUAAGGCUGGAUAUUGCUCUCUGAGACUGGCAUUGCCUAGCCAGAUGUCUUACCAGAAUCGAAUCUCUGACCCAUCUUUUAUCGCGAAAGACCCAAAGCGAAAGAGAUGUUUCUUUGCCGCCAUUAGGCCAGCCCAGAAGUGUGAGUCACCAGGUUUCCAAUAUGCCUGGGACACUGCCUUUUGGCCUAGAUACUUGUUGCGCAACAUGGUUUGCCAAACACCAUCCUCAGUAAGAAGUUUGAACAACCAUUUACUGAGCAAGGCCUCAUUCUUGACCUGUAGGUCAUGAAUUCCAAGGCCGCCUUGGUCUUUUGGCCUACAAACCAUGCUCCAUUUGGUCAACCGAUAUUUUUUCUUUUCUCCAUCUCCUUGCCAAAAAAAUCUGGAUCUAAAUUAAUCCAAUCUCUGCAGGACCCCUUUUGGGAGUUGGAAGAAAGAAAGCAUAUAGAGAACCAUAUUUGUGAGAACGGAGUUAACCAAAACCAGUCAUCCUCCAACUGAGAGCAGCUUGCCUUUCCAACUGCUCAAUCGUUUCUCUAGACGCUCCUCUACAUGCUUCCACUCUGCAAUGGUGAGACGCCGAUAGUGGAUCGGUAUUCCCAAAUAUUUAAUCAGGAAUUGGCCAUGUGCGCAACCAAAGAGGUCAGCAUAAUCGGCAACCGCCUCAACGGCUUUUCCAAAGCAGAAAAGUUCACUUUUAUGGAAGUUAAUUUUGAGACCCGACAUUUGCUCAAAUGCUGAGAGCGAGAGUUUUAGGUUUCGAGCCUUGUCUAGGUCAUGUUCCAUAAAAAGAAUUGUGUCAUCGGCGUAUUGCAGAAUAGAGAGGCCACCAUCCACAAGAUGUGGCACUACUCCUUCUAUCUGGCCGUCCUACUUAGCACGCUCAAUCAGAAUAGCCAACAUGUCAGCAACAAUGUUAAAUAACAUUGGAGACAUGGAGUCACCCUGUCGUAGUCCUUUUUUGUCUGAAAGUAAUGGCCUACAUCAUCAUUGACUUUGAUGGCCACACUACCUCCAGUUACAAAAUUUUGGAUCCACUAACGCCAUUUAUCGGAGAAACCUUUCAUUCUUAGGGCUUGUUGGAGGAAAGACCAUUUGACCUUGUCAUAGGCUUUUUCAAAGUCAAUUUUGAAUACUACUCCACUCAUGUUUUUCCGGUGCAUCUCGUGAACAGUCUCAUGCAAAAUUACUACGCCAUCGAGUAUAUUCCUUCCUUGCAUGAACGCCGUUUGAGAUGGCCGAACAACAUGAUCAGCUACCGAGUUUAACCUAUUUGUGGCCACUUUGGUGAAAAUCUUGAAGCUAACAUUAAGGAGGCAUAUGGGUCUGAACUGUUGGAUCCGUUCGGCCUCCUUAAUCUUGGGCAACAAGACAAUCUCGCCAAAAUUAAGUCUAAAUAGGUCUAGUUGGUCGGCAUGAAGACAAUUGAACAAAUCCAAAAGGUCGGUCUUGAUGAUAUCCCAAAAAUUCUGAUAGAAUUCUGCGGGGAAACCAUCUGGCCCUGGAGCUUUGUUAUGUUCCAUUUGGAACACCGCCGCUCUCACCUCCUCUUCCGAGAAUGAUGCCGUUAGGAUAUCAUUUUCUUCUGCCGUGACUUGUGGAAUAUCAUUCCUUCGGGUCUCGUCAAGGGUGAAGUUCCCUUCAACUGAUGCUCCAAACAGAGAUUUGUAGUACUUGGUGAUAUACUUCUUGAGCUCCUCCUGUCCUUCGAUCCGCCCCUCAUCUUGUUGGAGACUGUAAAUACAUUUUUUCCUAUGCCGCCCAUUGGCGAUCAAUUGGAAGUAUUUUGUAUUACUAUCACCCAUCAAGAUGAAGUCAGCUUUGGAUCUCUGGUAGUAUUUGAUCUCCUCUUCUCGCAAAAGACGUGCAACCUUCUCGUUAGAUUGAUUUUUCAGCUCAAUCUCUUGUUGAGAUAAGGUGCGCAUCUCUGCAAUUUUGUCAAGGUCGUCAAUAAUGGUAGAGAGUCUUUGUUUUUCUUUUUUAUAUAUCCUGUUGAUGUGUUUCGCCCAUCCAGUGAGGUGUUUCCUCAUGGCCCUUAUUUUAAAGUUCCAUCUCUGAAUAGGUGUACGACCAACAGCGGGCUUCUCCCAAACAUUCUUGAUUAUGUCUACAAAUCCAUCCCGAUGCAGCCAUCCCAAUUCAAAUUUGAAAGGGCGACGGACGUUUGGCUUCGUAGAGUUAGAAUCCAGAAUUAUGGGUGCAUGAUUCGAUAACGCCUCGAUACGCUCUAGGGCUCGCACGGUAACCAGAGGAAAUUUUAGUUCCCAUUCGGUGUCCAUGAGUACCCUAUCGAGUUUCUCGUAUGUCGGCACAGAUCGGUUAUUAGCCCAGGAAAACUGCCGCCCCUAUAUACUGGCCUCCCGAAGAUUCAAACUGUCUAUCACAGCAUUGAAUAUGAAAGGCCAAUGAGUUUCGAAGCGGUCAUUAUUUUUCUCUUGCUGGUACCUAAAGAUAUUAAAGUCCCCUCCAAUAAGCAUUGGAUAUGGGUUAUCCUUAGCCAGGUUCACCAAGGAAGGCCGAUUUAUGCUCAUCUUGGGCAGCCCCAUAGACUGCGACCAGGCUCCAUGUAAAAUUAUCAGCUCUGUUUCGUAAGUGAAAUUUCAUAUGAAAUUCACCAGUCGAAAAAGCCAACAAGUCCAUGGUGGUGGUCUGUAUCCCAAGAAGGAUUCCUCCAGACCUUCCACGAGCUGGCAGGCUAUGCCACGUGUAGUCGAAACCACCUGAUAGGUGAUCAAGGACAUGCGGGCGGAAGUCACAUUUAUCAGCCUCCGAAAUUGCCACAAAAUCCAACCCAUGUUCGCGCACACAAUCACCGACGUGUUUAUGUUUAGCCAAGUCUGAGAGACCUCUGCUAUUCCAAAACAUGCCUCUCAUGUGGAAACUCGGGUUGGUGUUGAACAUUUCGCCUUCUUGGGUUGUUUUUGUUUCUUUUUAGAGGAAUGCGAUUUAGAUUUUCGCGAAGACGCUGUGAAGUCACAGAACAUGGACCCAUGUCUUGCGUCAUCCAAACCAACCUCGGUAACCUCACCAACCAAGUGGGAGACAAGCGGACCAUCAUAUUUGGCAUCUGCUAAACUCUUGGAAUAAUGAAUAGACAGUAGCAUUAGUCGCAAGUGUUGUAGAUUUGCAAGUUCAGAUAACUAUCGCUAAAUUAGACUGAAGAACAAGACUGUCGGUCGUCACCACAACCCAACAAGUCCUCCUCCUUUGCAUCAACUACUAACAAAUCUUGACAUCUCCGGCAAUGGACAUUUGAAACAUGGAUUCUCUCCUAACAAAUAUGCAGAGCACUCAUCCAUUUCAAAUAAAAUGAAAUAAACAUCUCAUUCUAUAGAAACACAAUAUUGCUACAAAUUGUCAAUCCUCCUAGAUCCAUCAGACCAUCACCAUCGCCAUCAGAAAAUCACGGCAAUCUCCUCGGGUAGGGUUAGGGUCGAUGAGUGGCUAGAAGAGGACAUCGUUCUUGGCGAGCUUGCCGGCGUCGAUGACUUACCACCGGGACAGGGUUAGGAUGGAGGUGGGCAGAGGAGGAGGGGAGGGGAGAGGCGAAGAAGGCCAGUAUGUUGGAGGAGUAACGCCGGUGUCGGGGCGUCGGGCAGAGUCGGGCGGCGGCGUGGGGGCUCCUCCUCUCGCCGACGGGGCUCUUACCCUCGGUGGUGGCGGCGGCGGCGUCUCUUCCUCUCGCUGGCGGCAUGCGAUGGGACGAGCGAUUCCCUGAGUCGUUGGACGAGGGUUUCGAGUCACGUGGGUUCGCGAGGUUUCGCGUGGAUUAGAGAGGAUUGGCCCAUACAGACCCCCUGUAUCAAAUGGGCCAACGUGUUUUCUGGGGGUUUCUGGCCCACGCGAGGAAAAUCCUAUCGAUACCCCCUCAACCCACUCGCGCCAAAUGAGGCGUAAAAUAAAUUAGAGUUUGUCCUCUUCUAGAGCUGGCCGGUCUGGUGGUUUUCAACAGUUAGGGCAACUCCAACGAGCCGACGUAAACGAACGCGAUUUUUGGCCGCUUGAAUCGAUGUGUUGGGCUUUGUCCGUCCCCGACCAUGUUUCAGUUGGCAAUGCGCCCAACGCGUAGACACAUUUUUGUCCGCUCGAUCAUAUUUUUGCUCUUUGUGUGUACAUAUCAAAACAUUGCCUAAAGUUCAUAUAAUUCAACCAAAUGCAAAUAUCAUAGUUUUGUAACCAAACAAAAUCUCAUAAUUUACAAAACAAAAAAAUUAAAUUGUCACAAAUACAUUUGAAUAAAAUUAUCUCAUACGUCUAUUGGUUGCCAAGGUGAGCCCAAGGUGAGCCCACGUAUACAGUUGAAUGUGAGUUUCUCAAUCAUGCAUUUGAUGAACUGUGCAAAGAUUAUCGCUCCUCCAUGCUCAGACACAACAUUUUGUCCUCUAAAGUUGAAACCCCUGAUCGAAGAUUUCAUCCUGAUGCUCAUCCUCCACGAUCAUAUUGUGCAUGAUUACACAAGCAGUCAUCACCUCCCAUAAUUUUUGGUGCUCCAAGCUCUAGCAGGAUACCGAACGAUGCCCCAUCGAGAUUGAAGAACACCGAAAGCAUGCUCCAUAUCCUUUCCAGCACUCUCUUGUGCUUGGGCAAAUCUUUGUCUCUUCUCUCUUAUCGAGUUGGAGAUUAUCUUGACAAGAGUAGUCCACUUAGAAUGGAUAUCAUCAGCUAGGUUGUAACACCCUUGAUGCGACUAUAGCUCCCACGUGUCGAGGCACGACUUAGAGACAUAAUCGCAUUGAAGGCAUAUGUCGCAAGUGAGGUAAUCUUCACACAACCCAUGUAACACAUAAGGGAAAGAGAUACAUAGUUGGCUUACAAUCGCCACUUCACGCAAAUACAUGAAUAAAGCAUUACAUCAUACAAAUACAAUCAAGGUCCGACUACGGAACCAAAAUAAAAGAAGAACCCCAAAUGCGACGAAGGUCCCCGAUCGACCCCAACUGGGCUCCACUACUGAUCAACUAGAACGGAACAACACAAAGGACAAGAUCUUCAUUGAGCUCCUCCUUGAGCUUGGUUGUGUCACCUGCACGGACUCAACGACACCUGCAAACUGGUUUUGGGAGUAUCUAUGAGCCACGGGGACUCAGCAAUCUCGCACCCUCGCGAUCAAGACUAUUUAAGCUUAUGGGUAAGGUAAAGGUGUGAGGUGGAACUGCAGCAAGCGACUAGCAUAUAUGGUGGCUAACAUAUUCGCAAAAGAGAGCGAGAAGAGAAGGCAAAGCGCGGUCGAGAAGCUAUGAUCAAGAAGUGAUCCUAUAGCAACCUACGUCAAGCAUAACUCCAACAACCGUGUUCACUUCCCGGACUCCGCCGGAAAGAGACCAUCACGGUUACACAUGCGGUUGAUUCAUUUUAAUUAAGGUCGAACUUUAGGUUUUCUACAACCGGACGUUAACAAAUUCCCAUCUGCCCAUAACUGCGGGCACGGCUUUCGAAAGUUCAAUCCCUGCAGGGGUGUCCCAACUUAGCCCAUGACAAGCUCUCACGGUCAACGAAGGAAUAGACCUCCUCCCGAGACAUUCCGAUCAGACUCGGUAUCCCGGUACAUCAAGACAUUUCGACAGGGUAAAACUAAACCAACAACACCGCCCGAAUGUGCCGACAAAUCCCGAUAGGAGCUGCACGUAUCUCUUUCUCAGGGCACACUCAGAUGAGACUAGCUACGAGUAAAACCAACCCUCAAGUUUCCCCGAGGUGGCCCCGCAGGCAGCUCAGUUCGGACCAACACUCAGAGGAGCACUGGCCCGGGGGGGUUAGAAUAAAGAUGACCCUUGAGUCUGCAGAACCCAAGGGAAGGUGGUAGGUUGUUAGUGCAAAUGGUAAAACCAAUGUUGGGCAUUGCUGGAAGAGCUUUACUUAAGGCGAACUGUCAAGGGGUUCCCAUUAUAGCCCAACCGCGUAAGGAACGCAAAAUCGGGGAACAUAACACCGGUAUGACGGAAACUAGGGCGGCAAGAGUGGAACAAAACACCAGGCAUAAGGCCGAGCCUUCCACCCUUUACCAAGUAUAUAGAUGCAUUAAUUAAAUAAGAUAUAUAGUGAUAUCCCAACAAGUAAACAUGUUCCAACAAGGAACAACACCUCCAUGUUCCAACAAGGAACAAACUUCAAUCUUCACCUGCAACUAACAACGCUUAAAGAGGGGCUGAGCAAAGUGGUAACAUAGCCAAACAACGGUUUGCUAGGACAAUGGUGGGUUAGAGGUUUGACAUGGCAAUUUGGGAGGCUUGCAAGCAAGUGGUAGGCAUCGUAGCAAUGGCAUAGCAAAAGAGCGAGCAGACUAGCAUAGCAAAGAUAGUAGUGAUUUCGAGGGUAUGAUCAUCUUGCCUGAAAUCCCGCAAGGAAGAAGAACGAGUCCAUGAAGAAGACAAACGGACGUAGUCGAACGGGUCCUCACAAACGCGACGUUACCGGAACCAACCCGAAGAAGCAACACCGGAAAAGAAGCACACAACAUAGUAAACAACCACCACAACAACAUGGCAUGAUGCACAACAAGUAUGAUGCAUGUCCAGUUUAAUGAGUCAUGGCAUGGCAAAGUGCACAAACAACCCUACAAAUUAAGUGGAGCUCAAUAUGCAACUCCGUUGCAUAUCGACGAAACGCCACAUCAAUUAUUUAGUUCUCUCCCGGUUAUGUACUCAAUAAUAUUAAAUGUUGAUAAACAUGGCAAGAGGGUGAAGCAAAGUAAAACUACCUAUCUAGUCAAGGUUAAAUGAGGCCGGAAGCAACGAACAACAAUUUCGGUAAAUCCCCAUAUGCACAUAUUAGGUUUGGUACUGUUCUGCCCUAAACACAAUUUUAGAGUUGUUUAACAUGCAAAUAAAGGUCACCAUGAUAAACUAGGCAAAAUUCUACCCCAUUUACAUAUAAAAUUUAUUAAAUUCCGAGUUACAGUUAUUUAGUUAUGAAUUAAAGCAUUUUAACAUGACAUAGGGGCAAAAUUAAUCAAAAAACAUUUUAAACAUUUUAAACAUGGAUGAAAGUUGGAUAUUAUGAAACUAGACAAAAUUCUAAGCAAGUUUCAUGUAUAAUUCAUUUUAAUCCGAUGCACGGUUAUUAAGUUACUAUAUGCAUGAACAGCAGGGACUUUUCUGUAAAAACAGCAAUCCUGCGGAUAAUAGCUAAAAUCGCAACAAAGGAAAAAAAACACGCAUCGGGCCGAAUCUGGUGCAAACGGGCCAACAGGAGCAGGCGCUGGGGGCAGCUCACCCAUGGGCUAUGGCCCGGUUCGGUGGGGAGGAGGCCGUCGGGGUGAGGAGGCGCGCGAGCUGGGCCUUGGGCGGCUGCGGUCAACGGAAGCAGAGCAGCGGCUGAAGCGGUCGUGGCGCUCGUCUGUCUCCAAUGAGAGGAAGCAGGGGCAGCGGCUGGCGAUGCAGGUGGUCUCCGGCAAGGGCACCGGUGGCCGGGGACGGGGCCCAGCCGGUGGGAUCCGGCAGGAGCGGUCAAGGGCGGCGGAGGAGAGGGGAUCCGGUCCAGAUCGGGGCCGAGGCAGCGGGAGUCCAUGCUUCGGGCGCCCAUGGCGGCUUGCUGGUUCGUGUCCCUGGAGAUAGAUAGGGAGAGAGGUGAGGCGAGGGAGAGAACACGAGGGAGAAGGAGAUGGCAGGGGUGGCGCGACCUGGCCGGAGGCGACCUGGUGAAGGUGCUCGCCGGCGGGGGAGGCAGCUCCGGUGAGGCGAGGCAGUGACGAGGUGGAGGCGAGGGGAGCUCGAGGCGGCUUGGGGCCUGGUGCAGCUCGGGAGCCCUCGAGCGGGAGAGGCUGGAGUCUCGGGGUCGAGCUCCUCUCGAACGGAGCGAGGCUACUGCAAUUGAUUUGGAAGGGAUCGGGAGGAGGCUCACUGGUUGGGGUGGAGAGAUCGGGAGGGAUCGAUGGAUUGGAUAGAUGGGGAAAACGAGGAAGGUGGCGGCGGCAUGGGGAUUGAUGGAUGGGACAGCUCCCCUAGGUUUUAGGGUUUGGUCUUUAAAUAACAAGUGAAUUUUGGGUAGGGGUAUUUGGUCCCUCCGAUUAAAUCGGACGGCCCUAGAUAAAUAGGCUAGGGAGACCAAACAAAGAAAACGGAGAUAUUUUGUAGAUGUUAGGGGAUGAUCCGAACACAAUGGUGACGACUGCCCGGGUCGUGUCUGGGAUAACUUUCGGACGCGCGUGCGAGGAGGUUCGCGGACUGACGAAAGAGGUUAGGUAGGUCCUGGCGGUUAGGUAGUGGGCCGUGCAGAAAGCCUUGGGCUGAGAGAAGAGAAGAGAGAGACCCGGCGACUGUUUCCGGAGACCGAAAACGUCUGACGUUAGACCGACUAUAUCGUCGCUAUAGUUUAAUGGUUGGGCUAUCAAACGAGCUCCGAAUGCGAUGAAACUUGGCAGGCGACCUACUAACAACAUAACAACACCACAUGCCAACUUUCAUCCCAUUCCGAGAACAUUUUUCGGCCACUUAUAAAAUAAUAUUUCGGACGUGCCGCGGGCGCGUGCAAGUGUGGUUGGGCUCAGAACGGACAACGGAAGGAACGAGGAGACCGGGACAGAUGCAAGUUUUGAAAACAUGAUGAUGCAAUGCACAUGAUGACAUGAAAAUGCAACACGCAAGCAAAUGACAUGGCAACGCCGGCGAACAACUGGAAGACACCUGGCACAUCGGUCUCGGGGCGUUACAUAGGUAGUAUUUUUUGUUGUAGUGGUGGCCAUUGAUCUCAACGUUGACCUGUGGGCAGUUGCCUUCUGCAAACCUUGCAAACACUGGAUAGCACUGAAGCACGUUGAUGUCAUUGUGAGAGCUGGUCAUGCCAAAGAAAGAGUGUCAAAUCCAGAGAACUUAUGGAGCCACGACCUCAAGUAUGACAGUGCAAGCUUUCACAUGGCCCCUAGUGCAUACAAUCUAUACUACCAAGCAUCCCCGAAAAGCCUUGUCGGCAUUGAUCGCCAACAACCGGGUUGUAUCUACAAUAGUUGGUUCUCUCAAGUACUCCGGGCCAAAUACUUCUACCAUAGCCUUGUUGAACCUAUGCAUGGAUUUUAGGCAAGUGGACUCGCUCAUGCAGACAUACUCAUCAAUAAGAGCACCGGGUAUUCCGUAUGCAAGCAUCUGAAUAGAUGUAGUGCAUUUCUGAUAAGAGGAGAAGACAACCUUUCCCAAGGCAUCCUCCAUGCAUUCGAAAUACUUAUCGUACGCCACCAAUCCCUCCCAGAUACGAUUGAACACAUGUCUAGCCAUCUGAAAGCGACGCCAGAAUAGGUUGUAUUUGAAGAGAGGGUCAACGGACUGGAAGUAGUCCUGCCAGAGUAGGCAAUGGUCACUCUCUCUUUCUUUGUUGCGAUUCAGAGUAUGCCUCGAGAUCGAUCCCCUAAACAUUGGCCACUGCCUAGUAAUAUGGUCAUGGACGAUUAAAGUGGCAACCACAAACUCCUCAUCGUCGGACGACGAAUCAUCCGAAUCGCAAAUGAAGUUGUUGAAAGGGUACUCAUAGCCACUAUCUAUUUGUACCUUGCACGUGAAACGUCGAACACCUAGCGGACUUGGAGAAAGCAGUCGGACGGUGAAGAGCCUCAUCUCUCCCAGACCAGGCAGCCGGCCUGUCAGCGUGGAGGCGACCGGCGAUGAGGUAGCCAAGCUUGGAGUGUGGCUGGCGGCGACGGAGGGAGGGGGUGGCGUGGACGUGGCGGUGCUACGACGCCGGCAAGAACGGCCGCCGGGCGUGGUGUGCUGCUGGGGGAGGUAUGUGGGUGUAGGCGGCUGCCUGGCCAGCAUACAACCGAAACUAGGCGGCGGCGGCGAGAACGUGGUGACCGGGUGUGUUGGUUGUUGAUGGAAAAGAGGAGAAAAUGAUCAAUGUGGCACCGACUGACGGGCCAGGGGGAGAAAAAGCGGGAGUCAUGCGUGUCAGCCCGACGCAAAACGGCUCAAAUUUAAGCCUGAAAUGGGUCGCACACAGACCAAAAGCGGACGCUGGUCCAUCGGUCGUUGGUCCGUGAUUUGUUUUCAUUUUAACUCAAAGUGACACGCGCAGACAUUUUGUGUAGGCGUGUUGGAGUUGUCGUUAGGACCGACCGCGGCACGUACCCACUCUAUUGAGUAGUUGAUGGCUGCUAAACUUUUUUUUCUGCGGGGGUUGAUGGCUGCUAAACUUUUUUUUUCUGCGGGGGUUGAUGGCUGCUAAACUAGUGAGCCACUAACUUGGACACCAACGGUGGUAGUACUACACUUUCGCCGACCGGACGCUGCCACGAGUACCGCUAAUUCGUUAGUCGUUACGCAGUUUGCAUAUUAGUAUGAUAAGAGAGACCGAUAAAAACGUACAGUACGCACUAGUAGUAAGAUGGCGUCGAAUCCUGAAUUUCGCUCACCCUUCCCUAGCCAUACAUGCUUUUGAACUGGAUCUGACUGCCAACCACCCAACCAUAAUCAAAUAUUUCUACUGCUUCUCCUCUGAUAUAUCGAUCUUAAGUCGUGAUUUAACGGAUCACUACACACAGGUAGAGUCCGCUGCACACUUUUAACACUAGACGUACACGAGAGAUCUAGAUUGUACGUCCAACUGUAAGCUACUAGUAAUAAGUCUAACUCUACCGCGCGUGUCCGUUUGAGGUAAAACGAACAAAUAGCGCGGCCGAGCACGCUGUCUCAAACAGACAAAUGUCCGGAUUUCGUCCGUUUCGACCCAUUCCCGACCCAAACUUGCGCUCGGUUUGGGGUCAAACGGACGCGCGCGGACGGUCUGGACGCACGCCCUUGUCCCCCCGUGGCCCGCCUGUCAGGGACACUAGCAGUCCCUCCGCUCUCAACGCUUACACUCUCUCUCUCCUGCCCCGUCCUGCCGUCGGCACCGCCGCUAUUCUCCGGCCGCCUCCUCACCACGCAGCCCCGGCCGUCCCUACCAAACCACGUCUCGACAUGGCCGCCACCACGCCCGCGCUUUGGCCGUAGUUUUGGCCAUCGAUCGGAGGUUUGGCCGUCGUUGUCUUUGCAGGUCGCAGAGGGGACACGACCGCCGGCGACCUACCACGGCGGCCUCGGCAGCUUCCAACGAGAGCUCUAGAGUGGCCAGUAGAUGGUCGGCAACCAUCCCUGCUGCGUCGAGGUGAUCAUCGUGGCCUCUUCGCCACCACGACUGCAAGGUGUUCGACAUUUUGCCCACAAAGGUAUGGACAGUGGAGACGAGUUUUUCUUCCAUCACUUUUUUGUUUAUCGGACGAUUCAUCGUCGGAUGAUGAAGAUCUUGUGGUGGCUGCACUGGUCGUUCACGACCACAUUCAGCGGCAGCUUCCUCGGUACAGGGGGUCAGUCCCUGGCCUCCCAACGUGAACCGCAACAGGGAGAGAGGCCACGCCCUGCUCUAUGCCGAUUACUUUACCAACACCCCGCUCUUCAAGCCGGAUAAAUUCCGUCGCCAUUUUCGAAUGGCAAGGCAUGUGUUCAAUCGUAUCUGAUGGGGAGUGGUUGCUCAUGACCCAUACUUCGAGUGCAAGACGAAUGCCCUUGGCAAGCUUGGAUUCUCCUCUUACCAGAAAUGCACCACGGCCAUCUGCAUGCUUGCAUAUGGAAUUCCAGGUGAUCUAGUGGAUGAGUAUGUGCGUAUGAGUGAGACAACAUGUUUGAUGUCAAUGUACAAGUUUUGUCUGGCUGUGAUCGAGGUGUUUAGCCUAGAGUACUUGAGGCAGCAAACUGCCGCUGAUACAGAGAGAUUGUUGGCGACCAACGCAGCUAGAGGCUUUCCAGUCAUGCUCGGCAACAUAGAUUGUAUGCACUGGGAGUGGAAGAACUGUCCAUUUGCUUGGCAGGGCCAGUACAAGGGGCAUGUCAACGGAUGCACUGUCAUAUUAAAAGCGGUGGCAUCGCAGGAUCUUUGGAUAUGGCAUUCUUUCUUCGGCGUGGCAGGUUCUCACAAUGAUAUCAACGUGCUGCAGCAUUCUCCAGUCUUCGCGAGGCUUGCAGAAGGCUACUCCCCACCUGUCAACUUUGAGAUCAACGGCCACCAGUACAAUAAGGGAUACUAUCUAGCUGAUGGUAUAUAUCCUCAGUGGUCAACUUUUGUGAAGACAAUCUCGAAACCCCAAGGUGAGAAGAGAAAGAGAUUUGCCAAAUGCAAGAGAGUGUUAGAAAGGAUGUGGAAUGUGCUUUUGGUGUGCUUCAAUCACAGUGGGGUAUCGUUUGAAACCCUGCACUGUCAUGGGAUGAAAGGAAGCUUUGGGAGGUGAUGACUACUUGUGUGAUCAUGCACAACAUGAUCGUCGAGGACGAGCGUGAUGAGAGUAUGUUCGACCAAGGAUUUGAUUAUCAAGGUGAAAUAUUCAGCCCCUGCACCAAGACCUGGCCACAUUUGAACAGUUUGUCCAAUUCCACCGUGAGAUGUGUGAUUGGCACACUCAUUUGAAUCUUCAAAAUGACUUGGUUGAGCACGUGUGGGAUCACAUUGGCAACCAAUAGAUGUAUUGGUCCAUUUUAUGUGCAGUCAAGACAAUUUCGAUUUGGUUGUAAAACUUUUAUUAAAGACAAUUUCAAUUGGGUUGUAAAACUAUUUUAAUUUUCAGACAAAUAUUUGGGUUGUAAAACUAGUUUUGAUGAAAAUAUGGGCAUUUAUUGGCCCUAACGGACAUGAUGGGGCAAAGGGAUGCGGUCGCGCGCUAGGCGCACGGCCACUGCAUCCCAGGACACGCCCGGACACGACCCCAUUGCCCUACCCAAACGGACAGAAACCGGACAAAACAGACGUCUGUUUGAGGUCGUGCGGUGAAGUUGGCCUAAGCAAGGUGAUGUUGGGGAACGUUGCAGAAAAUUAAAAUUUUUCCUACGGUUUCACCAAGAUCCAUCUAUGAGUUCAUCUAAGCAACGAGUCAAGGGAGAGAGUUUGCAUCUACAUACCACUUGUAGAUCGCGUGCGGAAGCUUGCAAGGUGAUGAUGGAGUCGUACUCGACGUGAUUCGAAUCACCGAUGACCAAGUGCUGAACGGACAACACCUCCGCGUUCAACACACGUACGGGACGGGAGACGUCUCCUCCUUCUUGAUCCAGCAAGGGGGAAGGAGAGGUUGAGGAAGACAGCUCCACCGGCAGCACGACGGCGUGGUGAUGGUGGAGAGGCAGUACUCCGACAGGGCUUCGCCAAGCACACAACGGAGGAGGAGAGGUGUUGAGGAGGGGAGGGUUGCGCCUUGGAGGGUGGUCUGGCUGCCCUCCCCUCACCCCUCUAUUUAUAGGGGGAAGGGAGAAGGGGGCCGGCCCCCUAGAACCCAUCUAGGGGGGGUGCGGCGGCCAAGGGGAGAGGGGAGAGGGUGGCUUGCCCCCCAAGCCAAGGGGGCGCCCCCUCUAGGGUUCCCCCCCUCAACCCUAGGCGCAAGGGCCCAAGGGAGGGGGUGCGGCCAGCCCACCAGGGGCUGGCUCCCUGCCCCACGCAGCCCAUGUGGCCCCCCGGGAGGGGUGGCCCCUCCCGGUGGACCCCCCGGAACCCUUCCGGUGGCCCCGGUACAAUACCGGUAUGACCCCGAAACUUCCCGGUGUCCGUUUGACAACUUCCCAUAUAUAAAUCUUUACCUCCGGACCCUUCCGGAGCUCCUCGUGACGUCCAGGAUCCCAUCCGGGACUCCGAACAACAUUCGGUAGUCACAUACUAGUCUUCCUAAUAACCCUAGCGUCACCGAACCUUAAGUGUGUAGACCCUACGGGUUCGGGAGACAUGCAGACAUGACCGAGACGCUCUCAGAUCAAUAACCAACAGCGGGAUCUGGAUACCCAUGAUGGCUCCCACAUGCUCCUCGAUGUUGUCAUCGGAUGAACCACGAUGUCGAGGAUUCGAUCAAACCCUGUAUACAAUUCCCUUUGUCAAUCGGUACGUUACUUGCCCGAGACUCGAUCGUCGGUAUCCCAAUACCUUGUUCAGUCUCGUUACCGGCAAGUCACUUUAUUCGUACCGUAAUGCAUGAUCCCGUGUCCAACACCUUGGUCACAUUGAGCUCAUUAUGAUGAUGCAUUACCGAGUGGGCCCAGAGAUACCUCUUCGUCAUACGGAGUGACAAAUCCCAGUCUCGAUCCGUGUCAACCCAACAGAUACUUUCGGAGAUACCUGUAAUGCACCUUUAUAGUCACCCAGUUACGUUGUGAUGUUUGAUACACCCAAGGCACUCUUACGGUAUCCGGGAGUUACACGAUCUCAUGGUCGAAGGAAGAGAUACUUGACAUUGGCAAAGCUCUAGCAAAACGAACUACACGAUCUUUUAUGCUAUGCUUAGGAUUGGGUCUUGUCCAUCACAUCAUUCUCCUAAUGAUGUGAUCCCGUUAUCAACGACAUCCAAUGUCCAUAGUCAGGAAACCAUGACUAUCUGUUGAUCACAACGAGCUAGUCAACUAGAGGCUCACCAGGGACAUAUUGUAGUCUAAGUAUUCACACGUGUAUUACGAUUUCCGGAUAAUACAGUUAUAGCAUGAAUAAAAGACAUUUAUCAUGAACAUUGAAAUAUAAUAAUACUUUUAUUAUUGCCUCUAGGGCAUAUUUCCAAUAGUCUCCCACUUGCACUAGAGUCACCAAUCUAGUUACAUUGUGAUGAAUCGAACACCCAUAGAGUUCUGGUGUUGAUCAUGUUUUGCACGCGAGAGAGGUUUAGUCAGCGGAUCUGUGACAUUCAGAUCCGUGUGCACUUUGCAAAUCUCUAUGUCUCCAUCUUGAACAUUUUCACGGAUGGAGUUGAAACGACGCUUGAUGUGCCUGGUCUUCUUGUGAAACCUGGGCUCCUUGGCGAGGGCAAUAGCUCCAGUGUUGUCACAGAAGAGUUUGAUCGGCCCCGACGCAUUGGGUAUGACUCCUAGGUCGGUGAUGAACUCCUUCACCCAAAUCGCUUCAUGCGCUGCCUCCGAGGCUGCCAUGUACUCUGCUUCACACGUAGAUCCCGCCACGACGCUCUGCUUGCAGCUGCACCAGCUUACUGCUCCACCAUUCAACAUAUACACGUAUCCGGUUUGUGACUUAGAGUCAUCCAGAUCUGAGUCGAAGCUAGCGUUGACGUAACCCUUUACGACGAGCUCUUCGUCUCCUCCAUAAACGAGAAACAUGUCCUUCGUCCUUUUCAGGUACUUCAGGAUAUUCUUGACCGCUGUCCAGUGUUCCUUGCCGGGAUUACUUUGGUAUCUUGCUACCAAACUUACGGCAAGGUUUACAUCGGGUCUGGUACACAGCAUGGCAUACAUAAUAGAUCCUAUGGCUGAAGCAUAGGGGAUGACACUCAUCUCUUCUUUAUCUUUUGCCGUGGUCGGUGACUGAGCCGAGCUCAGUCUCACACCUUGUAACAUGGGCAAGAACCCCUUCUUGGACUGAUCCAUUUUGAACCUCUUCAAAAUCUUAUCAAGGUAUGUGCUUUGUGAAAGACCUAUGAGGCGUCUCGAUCUAUCUCUAUAGAUCUUGAUGCCUAAUAUAUAAGCAGCUUCUCCAAGGUCCUUCAUUGAAAAACACUUAUUCAAGUAGGCCUUAAUGCUGUCCAGAAAUUCUAUAUUAUUUCCCAUCAAGAGUAUGUCAUCUACAUAUAAUAUGAGAAAUGCUACAGAGCUCCCACUCACUUUCUUGUAAACGCAGGCUUCUCCAUAAGUCUGCAUAAACCCAAACGCUUUGAUCAUCUCAUCAAAGCGAAUGUUCCAACUCCGAGAUGCUUGCACCAGUCCAUAAAUGGAUCGCUGGAGCUUGCAUACUUUGUUAGCAUUCCGAGGAUCGACAAAACCUUCCGGCUGCAUCAUAUACAGUUCUUCCUUAAGAUGCCCGUUAAGGAAUGCUGUUUUGACGUCCAUCUGCCAUAUCUCAUAAUCAUAGUAUGCGGCAAUUGCUAACAUGAUUCGGAUGGACUUCAGCUUCGCUACGGGAGAGAAAGUCUCGUCGUAGUCAAUCCCUUGAACUUGUCGAUAACCCUUAGCGACAAGUCGAGCCUUAUAAAUGGUAAUAUUACCAUCCGCGUCCGUCUUCUUCUUAAAAAUCCAUUUGUUUUCUAUCGCUCGCCGAUCAUCGGGCAAGUCUGUCAAAGUCCAUACUUUGUUUUCAUACAUGGAUUCUAUCUCGGAUUUCAUGGCUUCAAGCCAUUUGUUGGAAUCCGGGCCCGCCAUCGCUUCUUCAUAGUUCGAAGGUUCAUUGUUGUCUAACAACAUGAUUUCCAGGACAGGGUUGCCGUACCACUCUGGUGCGGAACGUGUCCUUGUGGACCUACGAAGUUCAGCAGUAACUUGAUCCGAAGUACCUUGAUCAUCAUCAUUGUUUUCCUCUUCAGUUGGUGUGGGCAUCACAGGAACGGUUUCCUGCGCUGCGCCACUUUCCCGUUCAAGAGGUAGUACUUCAUCGAGUUCUACUUUCCUCCCACUUACUUCUUUCGAGAGAAACUCUUUUUCCAGAAAGCAUCCGUUCUUGGCAACAAAGAUCUUGCCUUCGGAUCUUAAGUAGAAGGUAUACCCGACAGUUUCCUUAGGGUAUCCUAUGAAUACGCAUUUUUCCGACUUGGGUUCGAGCUUUUCAGGUUGAAGUUUCUUGACAUAAGCAUCGCAUCCCCAAACUUUUAGAAACGACAGCUUAGGUUUCUUUCCAAACCAUAAUUCAUACGGUGUCGUCUCAACGGAUUUUGACGGUGCCCUAUUUAAAGUGAAUGUAGCUGUCUCUAGAGCGUAUCCCCAAAAUGAUAGCGGUAAAUCGGUAAGAGACAUCAUAGACCGCACCAUAUCCAAUAGAGUGCGAUUACGACGUUCGGACACACCGUUUCGCUGAGGUGUUCCAGGCGGCGUGAGUUGUGAAACGAUUCCACAUUUCCUUAAGUGUGUACCAAAUUUGUGACUUAAGUAUUCUCCUCCACGAUCUGAUCGUAAGAAUUUUAUCUUUCAGUCACGUUGAUUCUCUACCUCAUUCUGAAAUUCUUUGAACUUUUCAAAGGUCUCAGACUUGUGUUUCAUUAAGUAGACAUACCCAUAUCUACUCAAGUCAUCAGUGAGAGUGAGAACAUAACGAUAUCCUCCGCGAGCCUCAAUGCUCAUUGGACCGCACACAUCGGUAUGUAUGAUUUCCAACAAGUUGGUUGCUCGCUCCAUUGUUCCGGAGAACGGAGUCUUGGUCAUUUUGCCCAAGAGGCAUGGUUCGCACGUGUCAAACGAUUCAUAAUCAAGAGACUCUAAAAGUCCAUCGGCAUGGAGCUUCUUCAUGCGCUUGACACCAAUGUGACCAAGGCGGCAGUGCCACAAGUAUGUGGGACUAUCGUUAUCAACUUUAAAUCUUUUGGCAUCUACACUAUGAACAUGUGUAAUAUUACGCUCGAGAUUCAUUAAGAAUAAACCAUUGACCAUCGGAGCAUGACCAUAAAACAUAUCUCUCAUAUAAAUCGAACAACCAUUAUUCUCAGACUUAAAUGAGUAGCCAUCUCGUAUUAAACGAGAUCCAGAUACAAUGUUCAUGCUCAAACUUGGCACUAAAUAACAAUUAUUAAGGUUCGAAACUAAUCCCGUAGGUAAAUGUAGAGGCAGCGUGCCGACGGCGAUCACAUCGACUCUGGAACCAUUCCCGACGCGCAUCGUCACCUCGUCCUUCGCCAGUCUCCGUUUAUUCCGCAGCUCCUGCUGUGAGUUACAAAUAUGAGCAACGGCACCGGUAUCAAAUACCCAGGAGUUACUACGAGUACUGGUAAGGUACACAUCAAUCACAUGUAUAUCAAAUAUACCUUUGGUGUUGCCGGCCUUCUUAUCCGCUAAGUAUUUGGGGCAGUUCCGCUUCCAGUGACCCUUCCCCUUGCAAUAAAAGCACUCAGUCUCAGGCUUGGGUCCAUUCUUUGACUUCUUCCCGGUAACUGGCUUACCAGGCGCGGCAACAUCUUUGCCGUCCUUCUUGAAGUUCUUCUUACCCUUGCCCUUCUUGAACUUAGUGGUCUUAUUGACCAUCAACACUUGAUGUUCUUUCUUGAUUUCAGCCUCUGCUGACUUCAGCAUCGAGAACACUUCAGGAAUGGUCUUUUCCAUUCCCUGCAUGUUGUAGUUCAUCACAAAGCUCUUGUAGCUUGGUGGGAGCGACUGGAGGAUUCUGUCAAUGACCGCCUCAUCUGGGAGGUUAAUGUUCAGCUGGGUCAUACGGUUGUGCAACCCAGACAUCUUCAGGAUGUGCUCACUGACAGAACUGUUUUCCUCCAUCUUACAACUGUAGAAUUUUGUCGGAGACAUCAUAUCUCUCGACCCGGGCAUGAGCUUGGAAAACUAGUUUCAGCUCUUCGAACAUCUCAUAUGCUCCGUGAUGCUCAAAACGCUUUUGGAGCCCCGGUUCUAAGCUGUAAAGCAUGCCGCACUGAACGAGGGAGUAAUCAUCAGCACGAGACUGCCAAGCAUUCAUAAUGUCUUGGUUCUCUGGGACGGGAGCGUCACCUAGCGGUCCUUCUAGGACAUAUUGUUUCCUGGCAGCUAUGAGGAUGAUCCUCAGGUUCCGGACCCAGUCCGUAUAGUUGCUGCCAUCAUCUUUCAGCUUGGUUUUCUCUAGGAACGCGUUGAAGUUCAUGUUGACAUUAGCGUUGGCCAUUGAUCUACAAGACAUAUUUGCAAAGGUUUUAGACUAAGUUCAUGAUAAUAAAGUUCUAAUCAAAUUAUGAACUCCCACUUAGAUUAGACAUCCCUCUAGUCAUCUAAGUGUUACACGAUCCGAGUCGACUAGCCCGUGUCCGAUCAUCACGUGAGACGGACUAGUCAUCGUCGGUGAACAUUCUCAUGUUGAUCGUAUCUUCCAUACAACUCGUGUUCGACCUUUCGGUCUCCAUGUUCCGAGGCCAUGUCUGCACAUGCUAGGCUCGUCAAGUUAACCCUAAGUGUUUUCGCUGUGUAAAACUGUCUUACACCCGUUGUAUGUGAACGUAAAAAUCCAUCACACCCGAUCAUCACGUGGUGCUUAGAAGCGACGAACUGUAGCAACGGUGCACAGUUAGGGGAGAACACUUCUUGAAAUUUUUUAUAAGGGAUCAUCUUAUUUACUACCGUCGUCCUAAGUAAACAAGAUGCAAAAACAUAAUAAACAUCACAUGCAAUUAUAUAGUUGUGACAUGAUAUGGCCAAUAUCAUAUAGCUCCAUUGAUCUUCAUCUUCGGGGCUCCAUGAUCAUCUUGUCACCGGCUUGACACCAUGAUCUCCAUCAUCAUGAUCUCCAUCAUCGUGUCUUCAUGAAGUUGUCACGCCAACGACUACUUCUACUUCUAUGACUAACGUUUAGCAAUAAAGUAAAGUAGUUUACAUGGCGUUAUUCAAUGACACGCAGGUCAUACAAAAAAUAAAGACAACUCCUAUGGCUCCUGCCGGUUGUCAUACUCAUCGACAUGCAAGUCGUGAAUCCUAUUACAAAGAACAUGAUCUCAUACAUCACAAUUCAUCAUUCAUCACAACUUCUGGCCAUAUCACAUCACAUGAUCAAUCGCUGCAAAAACAAGUUAGACGUCCUCUAAUUGUUGUUGCAUCUUUUACGUGGCUGCAAUUGGGUUCUAGCAAGAACGUUUUCUUACCUACGAAUCACCACAACGUGAUUUUGUCAACUUCUAUUUACCCUUCAUAAGGGCCCUGUUCAUCGAUUCCGCUCCAACUAAAGUGGGAGAGACAGACACCCGCCAGCCACCUUAUGCAACUAGUGCAUGUCAAUCGGUGGAACCGGUCUUACGUAAGCGUACGUGUAAGGUUGGUCCGGGCCGCUUCAUCCCACAAUACCGUUGAGCAAGAAAAUACUAGUAGAGGCAAGUAAGAUGACAAAAUCCACGCCCACAACAAAAUUGUGUUCUACUCGUGCAAAGAGAACUACGCAUAGACCUAGCUCAUGAUGCCACUGUUGGGGAACGUUGCAGAAAAUUAAAAUUUUUCCUACGGUUUCACCAAGAUCCAUCUAUGAGUUCAUCUAAGCAACGAGUCAAGGGAGAGAGUUUGCAUCUACAUACCACUUGUAGAUCGCGUGCGGAAGCUUGCAAGGUGAUGAUGGAGUCGUACUCGACGUGAUUCGAAUCACCGAUGACCAAGUGCUGAACAGACAGCACCUCCGCGUUCAACACACGUACGGGACGGGAGACGUCUCCUCCUUCUUGAUCCAGCAAGGGGGAAGGAGAGGUUUAGGAAGACAGCUCCACCGGCAGCACGACGGCGUGGUGAUGGUGGAGAGGCAGUACUCCGACAGGGCUUCGCCAAGCACACAACGGAGGAGGAGAGGUGUUGGGGAGGGGAGGGUUGCGCCUUGGAGGGUGGUCUGGCUGCCCUCCCCUCACCCCUCUAUUUAUAGGGGGAAGGGAGAAGGGGGCCGGCCCCCUAGAACCCAUCUAGGGGGGGUGCGGCGGCCAAGGGGAGAGGGGGAGAGGGUGGCUUGCCCCCCAAGCCAAGGGGGCGCCCCCUCUAGGGUUCCCCCCCUCAACCCUAGGCGCAAGGGCCCAAGGGAGGGGGUGCGGCCAGCCCACCAGGGGCUGGCUCCCUGCCCCACGCAGCCCAUGUGGCCCCCCGGGAGGGGUGGCCCCUCUCGGUGGACCCCCCGGAACCCUUCCGGUGGCCCCGGUACAAUACCGGUAUGACCCCGAAACUUCCCGGUGUCCGUUUGACAACUUCCCAUAUAUAAAUCUUUACCUCCGGACCCUUCCGGAGCUCCUCGUGACGUCCAGGAUCCCAUCCGGGACUCCGAACAACAUUCGGUAGUCACAUACUAGUCUUCCUAAUAACCCUAGCGUCACCGAACCUUAAGUGUGUAGACCCUACGGGUUCGGGAGACAUGCAGACAUGACCGAGACGCUCUCAGAUCAAUAACCAACAGCGGGAUCUGGAUACCCAUGAUGGCUCCCACAUGCUCCUCGAUGUUGUCAUCGGAUGAACCACGAUGUCGAGGAUUCGAUCAAACCCUGUAUACAAUUCCCUUUGUCAAUCGGUACGUUACUUGCCCGAGACUCGAUCGUCGGUAUCCCAAUACCUUGUUCAGUCUCGUUACCGGCAAGUCACUUUACUCGUACCGUAAUGCAUGAUCCCGUGUCCAACACCUUGGUCACAUUGAGAUCAUUAUGAUGAUGCAUUACCGAGUGGGCCCAGAGAUACCUCUCCGUCAUACGGAGUGACAAAUCCCAGUCUCGAUCCGUGUCAACCCAACAGAUACUUUCGGAGAUACCUGUAAUGCACCUUUAUAGUCACCCAGUUACGUUGUGACGUUUGAUACACCCAAGGCACUCUUACGGUAUCCGGGAGUUACACGAUCUCAUGGUCGAAGGAAGAGAUACUUGACAUUGGCAAAGCUCUAGCAAAACGAACUACACGAUCUUUUAUGCUAUGCUUAGGAUUGGGUCUUGUCCAUCACAUCAUUCUCCUAAUGAUGUGAUCCCGUUAUCAACGACAUCCAAUGUCCAUAGUCAGGAAACCAUGACUAUCUGUUGAUCACAACGAGCUAGUCAACUAGAGGCUCACCAGGGACAUAUUGUAGUCUAAGUAUUCACACGUGUAUUACGAUUUCCGGAUAAUACAGUUAUAGCAUGAAUAAAAGACAUUUAUCAUGAACAUUGAAAUAUAAUAAUACUUUUAUUAUUGCCUCUAGGGCAUAUUUCCAACAGGUGAAACAUGAGAGCGGAUGUCCUACACGCAGCGGCAGCUGCACGCAGAUAUCCAGCCGCUGCUCCAGGCGAUGUGAUAUGCGCAUUAAGAGAAAAGGGGACAUACAUCGGUCCAUAGUUACAAAAUACCCGAGUCCACAUUGGUCUAGUGGACUCGUCGGGUACACAUCUGACGCAAAGGACCUGACAUGCAGAGUGUGUAAUUAUAGAUGUCCGGAAGGGACCUGGCUUGUAGCAGGUGGGGGAACAUGACCCGAUUGUCAACAACGGCGGUGGUGGGGCCGCACCAUGCACGCAUGUAGAGGCGCGUCCUCUGGUGGCUAAAUUUUGUGUUUUCACCCUUUUCUGAAACCUAUUCGAGAUUUGACCUUAGUUUAAAUUUUUUUUGAGAUCUGACCCUUUUGCUACCGCCAGGGACCAUGGCGGUAGGGUAUAACAGCCUACCGCCAGGGACCAUGGCGGUAGGGUAUAACAGCCUACCGCCAAGGUCCCUGGCGGUAGGGUUGUAUGCUCUACCACCAAAAACCUCCUAAGUAUUGAACACAGUGCGUGCUCGUGCCUACCGUCAAGCACCUUGGCGGUAUGGUUGUGCAGACUACCGCCAGCCCGGUUGGCGAUAGCGAUGUUUCCUACCGCCAAAGUCCCUGGCAGUAGGCUGUUAGACCCUACCGUCAUGGACGCUGGCGGUAGCAAAAGGGUCAGAUAUUGAAAAAAUUUCAAACUAGGGUCAAAUCUUGAAUAGAUUUUUAAAAAGGGUCAAAACAUGAAAAUUUGCCUCCUCUGGUGUGUAUGACUUAUAAGCUGCCCGUGAGCGCGCUGGGGGCAUGGACGAAAUGUGCAGUGUAGGCGUUCAUGGCCUAGCAAAAAUGCUGUAAAAAAGUACGUCAUGCUAGUUUGGUUAUGUUGUACUCCCUUCGGCCAAAAAUACUUGUUAUCAAGAUGAAUAAAAGAGAAUGCAUCUAGACAUAUUUUAGUUUUAGAUGCAUCACUUUUUAUCCAUUUUGAUGACAAGUAUUUUCGGACGAAGGGAGUACAUAUAGUAUUGAAGAUUGCUUAUGAGUUUUUUAUUUAUAUAAUAACUUGAUAAUGUAUUUAGUGUUUCGUUUGAAAUAAAAGUAGAGAUAUUUUUGGUGUUUAUGGAUGAACCAUGUGAUUACCGUGACUAAUAAAAACAUCAAAAUGUCGAAAUUGCAUAGGAGCACACGGCGACUACACCCACUGGAAUCUGCCCCAUUCAUUUGCCUCGGGAUUCACAUUGCUAUAUUAGAUAGUCUGUAUUAGUGAGAUUUUGAACCAUGUAUCUCAUAUAAUAUAGGCUUGUAUUGGAUGUUCUUUUCAGACUGACGUUGUCAGUGAGCACAGACCUCAACCACCAACGCCCAACUACUUAAUCAAUGCGCCCAUGCCCCUCCCUCCAUUCAUGAAGCCAUCUCUCCCUGGACGCCCUUUCUUCUCCAUCAUAAGUGACACUACACAUGUUCUUCUUCCUCUCUCUACUUUUCCCUCUUCUCUUUUUGCUCCUAGUCUCCUCCUUCAACAACAUAGACGUGGGAAAAAGCCAGGAGGAACAAGGAACACUAUGCCGCCAACGGGGAACAACGUUGAGGACGAACGAGGUAGUCACCCAAGCUUGCCACGCACCAUGUGGAUACGGCCAAUGACAUGACAUCUGCCCUAGCCGUUGAGACCAGCGAGAAAUGUGUGAGAAGCAAACCAGUGUAAGAUUAUCCGUUGAUGAUGAGAAAAUUGUGCAGUCGCUGCUCUAGCUUAUCGUGACCUGUGCAACAGGGGUCAGUGACACCACAUUAUCCCAGGCCGCCGGCACCAUGGCCUUCAAUCCUACAGCCAGCGGUACUGCAUCCAAGCAUGAAGCAGGCCGCUUCCUACAUCGUCCUCCUUGUUGAGGUCAUGGGCUUUGUUUGAGAAAAGUGUAAUAUAUGUCUUCUAUCGAUGGUUACAGGGGGCUUAUAUUGUUGGAAAUAUGCCCUAGAGGCAAUAAUAAAUUAGUUAUUAUUAUAUUUCCUUGUUCAUGAUAAUCGUUUAUUAUCCAUGCUAGAAUUGUAUUGAUAGGAAACUCAGAUACAUGUGUGGAUACAUAGACAACACCAUGUCCCUAGUAAGCCACUAGUUGACUAGCUCGUUGAUCAAUAGAUGGUUACCAUUUCCUAACCAUGGACAUUGGAUGUCAUUGAUAACGGGAUCACAUUAUUAGGAGAAUGAUGUGAUGGACAAAGACCCAAUCCUAAGCCUAGCACAAGAUCAUGUAGUUCGUAUGCUAAAUCUUUUCUAAUGUCAAGUAUCAUUUCCUUAGACCAUGAGAUUGUGCAACUCCCGGAUACCGUAGGAGUGCUUUGGGUGUGCCAAACGUCACAACGUAACUGGGUGGCUAUAAAGGUACACUACAGGUAUCUCCGAAAGUGUCUGUUGGGUUGGCACGAAUCGAGACUGGGAUUUGUCACUCCGUGUAAACGGAGAGGUAUCUCUGGCCCCACUCGGUAGGACAUCAUCAUAAUGCGCACAAUGUGAUCAAGGAGUUGAUCACGGGAUGAUGUGUUACGAAACGAGUAAAAGAGACUUGCCGGUAACGAGAUUGAACAAGGUAUCAGGAUACCGACGAUCGAAUCUCGGGCAAGUAUCGUACCGCUAGACAAAGGGAAUUGUAUACGGGAUUGAUUAAGUCCUCGACAUCGUGGUUCAUCCGAUGAGAUCAUCGAGGAGCAUGUGGGAGCCAACAUGGGUAUCCAGAUCCCGUUGUUGGUUAUUGGCUGGAGAGUCGUCUCGGUCAUGUCUAUGUGUCUCCCGAACCCGUAGGGUCUACACACUUAAGGUUCGGUGACGCUAGGGUUAUAGAGAUAUUAGUAUGCAGUAACCCGAAAGUUGUUUGGAGUCCCGGAUGAGAUCCCGGACGUCACGAGGAGUUCCGGAAUGGUCCGGAGGUAAAAAUUUAUAUAUAGGAAGUGCUAUUUCGGCUAUCGGGACAAGUUUCGGGGUCACCGGUAUUGUACCGGGACCACCGGAAGGGUCCCGGGGGUCCACCGGGUGGGGCCACCUGCCCCCGGGGGCCACGUGGGCUGUAGGGAGUGCGCCUUGGCCUGUAUGGGCCAAGGGCACCAGCCCCAAGAGGCCCAUGCGCCAAGAGAUAAGGGAAAGAAAGAGUCCUAAAGGGGGAAGGCACCUCCGAGGUGCCUUGGGGAGGAUGGACUCCUCCCUGGCCGCACCCUUCCUUGGAGGAAGGGCCAAAGCUGCGCCCCCCCCCCCUCUCCCUUGGCCCUAUAUAUAGUGGGGGGAAGGGAGGGCAGCAACACCUAAGCCCUGGCGCCUCCCUCUCCCUCCCAUGACACAUCUCCCUCCUCCCACAGCGCUUGGCGAAGCCCUGUUGGAAUCCCGCUACUUCUACCACCACGCCGUCGUGCUGCUGGAUCUCCAUCAACCUCUCCUCCCCCCUUGCUGGAUCAAGAAGGAGGAGACGUCGCUGCUCCGUACGUGUGUUGAAUGCGGAGGUGCCGUCCGUUCGGCGCUAGGAUCAUCGGUGAUUUGGAUCACGACGAGUACGACUCCAUCAACCACGUUCUCUUGAACGCUUCCGUGCGCGAUCUACAAGGGUAUGUAGAUCCACUCCUCCCUCGUUGCUAGAUGACUCCAUAGAUUGAUCUUGGUGAUACGUAGAAAAUUUUGAAUUAUUGCUACGUUCCCCAACAGUGGCAUCAUGAGCUAGGUCUAUGCGUAGUUUCUAUGCACGAGUAGAACACAAAGUAGUUGUGGGCGUUGAUUUUGUUCAAUAUGCUUACCGUUACUAGUCCAAUCUUGAUUCGGUGGCAUUGUGGGAUGAAGCGGCCCGGACCGACCUUACACGUACUCUUACGUGAGACUGGUUCCACCGACUGACAUGCACUAGUUGCAUAAGGUGGCUAGCGGGUGUCUGUAUCUCCCACUUUAGUCGGAUCGGAUUCGAUGAAAAGGGUCCUUAUGAAGGAUAAAUAGCAAUUGGCAUAUCACGUUGUGGUUUUUGCGUAGGUAAGAAACGUUCUUGCUAGAAACCCAUAGCAGCCACGUAAAACAUGCAAACAACAAUUAGAGGACGUCUAACUUGUUUUUGCAGGGUAUGCUAUGUGAUGUGAUAUGGCCAAGAAGAAUGUGAUGAAUGAUAUGUGAUGUAUGAGAUUGAUCAUGUUCUUGUAAUAGGAAUCACGACUUGCAUGUCGAUGAGUAUGACAACCGGCAGGAGCCAUAGGAGUUGUCUUAAUUUAUUUAUGACCUGCGUGUCAACAUAAACGUCAUGUAAUUACUUUACUUUAUUGCUAACCGUUAGCUGUAGUAGUAGAAGUAAUAGUUGGCGAGGCAACUUCAUGGAGACACGAUGAUGGAGAUCAUGAUGAUGGAUAUCAUGGUGUCAUGCCAGUGAUGAUGAUGAUCAUGGAGCCCCGAAGAUGGAGAUCAAAAGGAGCAAUAUGAUAUUGGCCAUAUCAUGUCACUAUUUGAUUGCAUGUGAUGUUUAUCAUGUUUAUACAUCUUAUUUGCUUAGAACGAUGGUAGUAAAUAAGAUGAUCCCUCAUUAAAAUUUCAAGAAAGUGUUCCCCCUAACUGUGCACUAUUGCGAAAGUUCGUCGUUUCGAAGCACCACGUGAUGAUCGGGUGUGAUAGAUUCUUACGUUCGAAUACAACGGAUGUUGACGAGCCUAGCAUGUACAGACAUGGCCUCGAAACACAUGCGAAACACUUAGGUUAACUUGAGGAGCCUAGCAUGUACAGACAUGGCCUCGGAACACAAGAGACCGAAAGGUCGAGCAUGAGUCGUAUGGUAGAUACGAUCAACAUGAAGAUGUUCACCGAUGUUGACUAGUCCGUCUCACGUGAUGAUCGGACACGGCCUAGUUGACUCGGAUCAUGUAAUCACUUAGAUGACUGGAGGGAUGUCUAUCUGAGUGGGAGUUCAUAAGAUGAACUUAAUUAUCCUGAACAUAGUCAAAAGGUCUUCGCAAAUUAUGUCGUAGCUCGCGCUUCAGUUCUACUGUUUAGAUAUGUUCCUAGAGAAAAUUUAGUUGAAAGUUGAUAGUAGCAAUUAUGCGGACUAGGUUCGUAGACUGAGGAUUGUCCUCAUUGCUUCAUAGAAGGCUUAUGUCCUUAAUGCACCGCUCAGUGUGCUGAACCUCGAACGUCGUCUGUGGAUGUUGCGAACAUCUGACAUACACAUUUUGAUAACUACGUGAUAGUUCAGUUAAACGGUUUAGAGUUGAGGCACCGAAGACGUUUUGAAACGUCGCGAAACAUAUGAGAUGUUUCGAGGGCUGAAAUUGGGAUUUCAGGUUCGUGCCCACGUCAAGAGGUAUGAGACCUCCGACGAUUUUCUUAGCCUGCAAACUAAGGAGAAAAGCUCAAUUGUUGAGCUUGUGCUCAGAUUGUCUGAGUACAACAAUCAUUUGAAUCAAGUGGGAGUUGAUCUUCCAAAUGAGAUAGUGAUAUUUCUCCGAAGUCAUUACCACCAAGCUGCUAGAGCUUCAGGAUGAACUAUAAUAUAUCAGGGACAUAUGUGAUGAUCCUUGAGAUAUUCGCGAUGUUUGACACCACAAAAGUAGAAAUCAAGAAGGAGCAUCAAUUGUUGAUGGUUGGUGAAACCACUAGUUUCAAGAAGGGCAAGGGCAAGAAGUGAUACUUCAUGAAACAGCAAAUCAGCUGCUGCUCUAGUGAAGAAACCCAAGGUUGAACCCAAACCCGAGACUAAGUGCUUCUGUAAUGAGGGGAACGGUCACUGAAGCAGAACUACCCUAGAUACUUGGUAGAUGAGAAGGCAGGCAAGGUCGACAGAAGUAUAUUGGAUAUACAUUAUAUUAAUGUGUACUUUACUAGUACUCCUAGUAGCACCAGGGUAUUAGAUACUAGUUCAGUUGCUAAGUGUUGGUAACUCGAAAUAAAAGGCUAUGGAAUAAACGGGGACUAGCUAAAGGUGAGAUGACGAUAUGUGUUGGAAGUGUUUCCAAGGUUGAUGUGAUCAAGCAUCGUACGCUCCCUCUACCAUCGAGAUUGGUAUUAAAACCUAAAUAAUUGUUAUUUGGUGUUUGCGUUGAGCAUAGACAUAAUUGGAUUAUGUCUAUCGCAAUACGGUUAUUCAUUUAAGGAGAAUAAUGGUUACUUUGUUUAUUUGAAUAAUACCUUCAAUGGGCUUACACCUAAAAUGAAUGGUUUAUUGAAUCUCGAUUGUAGUGAUACACAUGUUCAUGCCAAAAGAUAUAAGAUAGUAAUGAUAGUACCACCUACUUGUGGCACUGCCACUUAAGUCAUAUCGGUAUAAAACGCAUGAAGAGGCUCCAUGUUGAUGGAUCUUUGGGCUCACUCGUUUUGAAAAGUUUGAGACAUGCGAACCAUGUCUAUUGGUGUAUAUGCAUGAAGAAACUCCAUGCAAAUGGACCAUUUGGACUCACUUGAUUUUGAAUCACUUGAGACAUGCAAAUCAUACCACAUGGGCAAGAUGACUGAAAGCCUCGUUUUCAGUAAAAUGGAACUAGAAAGCAACUUGUUGGAAGAAAUACAUUUUGAUGUGUGCAGUCCAAUGAGUGCUGAGGCGUGUAGUGGAUAUCGUUAUGUUCUUACUUCACAGAUGAUUUGAGUAGAUGUUGAGUACAUUUACUUGAUAAAUCACGAGUCUGAAUUAUUGAAAGGUUCAAGUAAUUUCAGGGUGAAGUUGAAAGACCGCCGUGACAAGAGGAUAAAAUAUCUAUGAUAUGAUCAUAGAGAUGAAUAUCUGAAUUACGAGUUUGGCAUAGAAUUAAGACAUUGUGGAAAUUGUUUCACAACUAAUACAGCCUGGAACACCAUAGUGUGAUGGUGUGUCCGAACAUCAUAACUGCACCCUAUUGGAUAUGAUGCAUACCAUGAUGUCUCUUAUCGAAUUACCAUGAUAGUUUAUGGGUUAGGCAUUAGAGACAACCACAUUCACUUUAAAUAGGGCACCACGUAAUUCCGAUGAGACGACACCGUAUGAACUAUGGUUUAGAGAAACCUAAGCUGUCAUUUCUUAAAAGUUUGGGGCUGCGACGCUUAUGUGAAAAAGUUUCAGGCUGAUAAGCUCAAACCCAAAGCAGAUAAAUGCAUCUUCAUAGAAUACCCAAAACAGUUGGGUAUACCUCCUAUUUCAGAUCUGGAAGCAAAAGUGAUUGUUUCUAGAAAUGGGUCCUUUCUCGAGGAAAAGUCUCUCUCGAAAGAAUUGAGUGGGAGGAUGGUGGAGACUUGAUGAGGUUAUUGAACCUUCACUUCAACUAGUGUGUAGCAGGGCACAGGAAGUUGUUCCUGUGGCACCUACACCAACUGAAGUGGAAGCUUAUGAUAGUGAUCAUGAAACUUCAGAUCAAGUCACUACCAAACCUCAUGGGAUGACAAGGAUGCGUACUACUUCAGAGUGGUACGUAAUCCUGUCUUGGAAGUCAUGUUGCUAGACAACAAUGAACCUACGAGCAAUGGAGAAGCGAUGGUGGGCCUGGAUUCCAAAAUGGCUCGAGGCCAUAUAAUCCGAGAGAGGAUCCAUGUAUGAAAACAAAGUGUAGACUUUGGAAGAGCUACUUGAUGGUCGUAAGGCUGUUAGGUACAUAUGGAUUUUAAAAGGAAGACGGACAAAGAUGGUAAGUAUCACCAUUAAGAAAGCUCGACUUGUCGUUAAGAUGUUUUCCGACAAGUUCAAGGAGUUGACUACGAUGAGACUUUCUCACUCGUAGCGAUGCUAAGAGUCUGUUGGAAUUAUAUUAGCGAUUACUGCAUUAUUUAUGAAAUCUUGCAGAUAGGAUGUCAAAACAUUGUUUCCUCGAUGAUUUUCUUGAGGAAAGGUUGUAUGUGAUACAACCGGAAGGUUUUGUCAAUCCUGAAAGAUGCUAAUAAGUAUGCGAAGCUCCAGCAAUCCUUCUAAGGACUAGAGUAAGCAUCUCGGAGUUGGAAUGUACGCUUUGAUGAGAUGAUCAAAUAUUUUGGGUUUAUACAAAGUUUAUGAGAAACUUGUAUUUCCAAAGAAGUGAGUGGGAGCACUAUAGAAUUUCUGAUAAAUAUAUGUUGUUGACAUAUUGUUGAUCAGAAAUGACGUAGAAUUUCUGGAAAGCAUAUAGGGUUAUUUGGAAAGUGUUUUUCAAUGGAAAGCCUGGAUUAAGCCACUUGAAACAUUGAGCAUCAAGAUUUAUAAGGAUAGAUCAAAACGCUUAAUGGUACUUUCAAAUGAAUACAUACCGUGACAAGAUUUUGAAGGAGUUCAAAAUGGAUCGGCAAAGAAGGAGUUCUUGGCUGUGUUAUAAGGUGUGAACAUUGAGUAAGACUCGAAACCUGACCGCGGCAGAAUACAGAGAAAGGACGAAGGUCGUCCCCUAUCCUUUAGACGUAGGCUCUAAAGUAUGCUAUGAUGUGUACCGCACCUGAAGUGUGCCUUGCCAUGAGUCAGUCAAGGGGUACAAGAGUGAUCCAAGAAUGGAUCACAAGACAGCGGUCAAAGUUAUCCUUAGUAACUAGUGGACUAAGGAAUUUUCUCGAUUAUGGAGGUGGUAAAAGAGUUCGUCAUAAAGGGUUACGCCGAUGCAAACUUUGACACUAAUCCAGAUUAUUCUGAGUAGUAAACUGGAUUCGUAUAGUAGAACAGUUAUUUGGAAUAGCUCCAAAUGUAGCGUAGUAGUUGCAUCUACAAGAUGACAUAGAAAUUUGCGAAGUACAUACGGAUCUGAAAGAUUCAGACCCGUUGACUAUAACAUCUCUCACAAGCAUAACAUGAUCAAACCCAGAACUCAUCGAGUGUUAAUCACAUGGUAAUGUGAACUAGAUUAUUGACUCUAGUAAACUCUUUGGGUGUUAGUCACAUGGGGAUGUGACCUUGAGUGUUAAUCACAUAUCGAUGUGAACUGGAUUAUUGACUCUAGUGCAAGUGGGAGACUGUUGGAAAUAUGCCCUAGAGGCAAUAAUAAAUUAGUUAUUAUUAUAUUUCCUUGUUCAUGAUAAUCGUUUAUUAUCCAUGCUAGAAUUGUAUUGAUAGGAAACUCAGAUACAUGUGUGGAUACAUAGACAACACCAUGUCCCUAGUAAGCCACUAGUUGACUAGCUCGUUGAUCAAUAGAUGGUUACGGUUUCCUGACCAUGGACAUUGGAUGUCAUUGAUAAUGGGAUCACAUUAUUAGGAAAAUGAUGUGAUGGAGAAAGACUCAAUCCUAAGCCUAGCACAAGAUCAUGUAGUUCGUAUGCUAAAGCUUUUCUAAUGUCAAGUAUCAUUUCCUUAGACCAUGAGAUUGUGCAACUCCCGGAUACCGUAGGAGUGCUUUGGGUGUGCCAAACGUCACAACGUAACUGGGUGGCUAUAAAGGUACACUACAGGUAUCUCCGAAAGUGUCUGUUGGGUUGGCACGAAUCGAGACUGGGAUUUGUCACUCCGUGUAAACGGAGAGGUAUCUCUGGGCCCACUCGGUAGGACAUCAUCAUAAUGCGCACAAUGUGAUCAAGGAGUUGAUCACGGGAUGAUGUGUUACGGAACGAGUAAAAGAGACUUGCCGGUAACAAGAUUGAACAAGGUAUCGGGAUACCGACGAUCGAAUCUCGGGCAAGUAUCGUACCGCUAGACAAAGGGAAUUGUAUACGGGAUUGAUUAAGUCCUCGACAUCGUGGUUCAUCCGAUGAGAUCAUCGAGGAGCAUGUGGGAUCCAACAUGGGUAUCCAGAUCCCGCUGUUGGUUAUUGGCCGGAGAGUCGUCUCGGUCAUGUCUACGUGUCUCCCGAACCCGUAGGGUCUACACACUUAAGGUUCGGUGACGCUAGGGUUAUAGAGAUAUUAGUAUGCGGUAACCCGAAAGUUGUUCGGAGUCCCGGAUGAGAUCCCAGACGUCACGAGGAGUUCCGGAAUGGUCCGGAGGUAAAGAUUUAUAUAUAGGAAGUGCUAUUUCGGCUAUCGGGACAAGUUUCGGGGUCACCGGUAUUGUACUGGGACCACCGGAAGGGUCCCGGGGGUCCACCGGGUGGGGCCACCUGCCCCGGGGGGGCACAUGGGCUGUAGGGGGUGCGCCUUGGCCUGUAUGGGCCAAGGGCACCAGCCCCAAGAGGCCCAUGCGCCAAGAGAUAAGGGAAAGAAAGAGUCCUAAAGGGGGAAGGCACCUCCAAGGUGCCUUGGGGAGGAUGGACUCCUCCCUGGCCGCACCCUUCCUUGGAGGAAGGGCCAAAGCUGCGCCCCCCCCCCCUCUCCCUUGGCCCUAUAUAUAGUGGGGGGAAGGGAGGGCAGCAACACCUAAGCCAUGGCGCCUCCCUCUCCCUCCCAUGACACAUCUCCCUCCUCCCGUAGCGCUUGGCGAAGCCCUGUUGGAAUCCCGCUACUUCCACCACCACGCCGUCGUGCUGCUGGAUCUCCAUCAACCUCUCCUCCCCCCUUGCUGGAUCAAGAAGAAGGAGACGUCACUGCUCUGUACGUGUGUUGAAUGCGGAGGUGCCAUCCGUUCGGCGCUAGGAUCAUCGGUGAUUUGGAUCACGACGAGUACGACUCCAUCAACCCCGUUCUCUUGAACGCUUCCGCGCGCGAUCUACAAGGGUAUGUAGAUCCACUCCUCCCUCGUUGCUAGAUGACUCCAUAGAUUGAUCUUGGUGAUACAUAGAAAAUUUUGAAUUAUUGCUACGUUCCCCAACAUAUAUAUCUCCUGAAGAGACACGACGAUCCAGAGGAGACAUCGGUUCCAGGGAGAUGCGACGGGCACCGGCAUCCGUGCGGGCACAACCGCUCGUCCCUUUAGUACAGAUUGUAGUUUAAUCUUAACACUCCCCCUAAUCUAUGCUUGAACAUGUAGAAUCAUCUUCACGAUUGUCAAGGAAGCUCUAUCAUCUCAAAGAUUCUCCUCCAAAAGUUCUUCAUAAUAUCUUUGAUGAGAUCCUGAAACAUAAACUCACAAAGAGAUAGCAUAAUGUGAUGCCAUUCGAAUAAGGAUAUCUCAAGAAGAGAUUCCCCCUGACACCUGCAAGUCCCUAAGUCGUUGCAUACCAAUUCCAUGAAGAUAUUUCUGGAAUGUUGAAUUUGGUAGAGACUUGGUAAAUAAAUCAGUAAGGUUGUCGCACGAUUUGACUUGCAGAAUGCUUAUUUCCCUGCUUUUCUGAAGAUUAUGGGGGAAAACCAUUUAGGACAAAUAUGCUUGGUGAUAUUACUCUCGAUGUAUCAUGUUUGCAUCUGUCCAACACAGGCCGCAUUAUCUUCAUAGAUAAUGGUAGGUGAUUCUAUCGAACCAAUUCCACGUGACUGUUGUAUGUGGUUUUAUCAUUCUGUGAAGCCAUACACAUUCACUUAUUGCUUCUAAUAAUGAACUUAUUUCAGAAUGAUUGGUAGAAGUUGCCACCAGAGUCUGUUUUGAAGACUUGCAUGAUAUAGCAGUGCCACCAUGUAGGAACACGAAGCCGGUCUGUGAUCUAGCAUUAUGGGGAUCAGAAAAUUAGCUGGCAUCUGUAUAUCCAAUCAUAUCGGAGUCCUGAUUUUUAUGGAACUGGAAAAAUAGACCAAGAUCCUUUGUGCUUUGGAGAUAUCGAAAGAUAUUCUUCACUCCAGACCAAUGACGUUUGGUGGGAGUUGUGCUAUGUCUAGCAAGUAAAUUCACUGCAAAUGCAAUAUCAGGUCUUGUGCAAUUUGCAAGAUACAUAAGCGCUCCAACGGCACUGAGGUAUGGAACUUCAGGUCCCAACACCUCUUCUCCAUCAUCCCUUCGUUUGAACGGAUCUUUCUCCACGUCUAGAGAUCGAACCACCAUGGGAGUUUUAGAUGGAUAGGAUUUGUCCAUAUUGGAUUUCUCCAACAUUUUCUGGAUAUAGGCAGAUUGGUGUACCAUGAUUCCUGAGUGAAGGUGCUCAAGUUGAAUGCCUAAGCAAAAUUUGGUUUUACCCAAAUCCUUCAUCUCAAAUUCCAUCUUUAGGUGAUUGCGUGCUUCAUCAAUGUCUGGUGUGCUGCCGAUGAUGUUGAGUUCAUCAACGUACACAUAAAUGAUGCAAAAUCCUGUAGAGGACUUCUUGAUGAAUACACAUGUGCAAUCAACACUAUUGAAGUAACCUUUCUGAAGAUGGAACUCACUAAGUCGGUUGUACCACAUCUGUCUCGACUGCCUUAAGCCAUAUAAUGAUUUAUUCAGUUUUACACAAUACAUAUUGCGUUUUGCAUUUUUAUUCGGGACAGAGAUUCCAUCAGGAACCUUCAUAUAUAUGUCCGAAUCUAGUGACCCGUAAAGAUAUGCGGUCACGACGUCCAUCAACUGCAUAGAUAGACGACUUUGCACUACCAAAGAUAUAAGAUAUCUGAAAGUGGUUGCACUCAUUAUUGGAGAAUAUGUUUUAGUGAAAUCAAUGUUGGUUUCUGCGUGAAACCUUGUGCUAAUAGCCUUGCUUUAUAUCUCACCACCUCAUUGUUCUCAUUCCAUUUCCGGAGAAAAACCCAUUUGAAUCCCACAGGGAAAACACUGGGAGGUGUCGGUAUUGCUUCAGUGAAUACCUUUCUUUUGUUAAGCGAGGCAAUUUCUGCUUGGAUUGCAUCCUUCCAUUUAGGCCAGUCGGAGCGCUUUUGUCACACUACGAUAGACCUAGGAUCAUGAUCAGUAAGAAGGGUAUCUGCAAUCUUUUCAGUAAAAUAUAUGUCGAUAGUCGCAGUCUUAUGGUCAAAUGAUUCUCCAGAAUCAACAUAGUUGAUGGAAAUUUCUUGCACCCCUGUGAAUCUUCGUGAUUUCCCAAUACGAUCGAGUCUGGGUGUUUCGAUGUCCCAGUUAGUUUGUGCACACUAGAACUGGGUUGUGGAGGUUGCCCUUCUGAAAGAACAUGCGGUGCCCCCAUGUUUGGUUUUGGUAAUUGAUGACAAUCUCUAUGGACUAAUGGUUGCCUUGAGUUAUAUUUGAAGGUUUUGUCCAUAGGCUUUUCUUGGAGUACAUGUGUUGGUUUCAAGGAGAGUUUGUGUCGACCAAGGUGCUAUUCAAGGAAUUACCUAAAGAUUGGUAUUGUGCGAGGUUGAUCAAGACUAAGUCAAAGAGUGAAUCAAGUUGAUCAACCCACAAAGUGUAGAAGAUGUAUCGAGAGGGAUCAAGUGAUCCCAUGGUAUGGUAAGCAUUGUCAAUUAUGCUUUGUGUACUAACCCAUGGUCUUCGUGAGGGUUCUUUGUGGGGUUAGGUUGCGGUGUGCAAGUUCAAGUGGAGCAUCACGAAGAGAUCAAAUACUUGAAGCCUGCCGUCCUUUGCGGUGACAAAGGACUUGUGAAGAUGUGCGGAAGAGUGGCUCACCCAUAGUGGAGUAUGGGGGGCAAUCAACUAGUCUUCAUUGAGUCAACACAAUCAAGAAAGGUUGCGGUGUGCAAGUUCAAGUGGAGCAUCACGAAGAGAUCAAAUGCUUGAAGCUUGCCGUCCUUUGUGGUGACAAUGGACUUGUGAAGAUGUGCGGAAGAGUGGCUCACCCAUAGUGGAAUAUGGGGGAGCAAUUAACUAGUCUUCAUCGAGUCAACACAAUCAAGAAAGGUGGUCCAACUUGAGGGAGUCAAGAUCGACAUCAUCUAGCUCAAGUGGACUAUGUGCAAGACAAAGGUUUGCCCUCGAUAGGUUUUCUAUUUUACCGGUCUCAUAGUGGUAGUUUGGAGACCGGGUUAUAGGAUCGAUUGUCGUACUAUCAAGGGGGGCUCUCGAUGAGUAGCUUGAUCGUAUCGUUCGUAGAGAGCUCAAACCAUUGCAUACUUGCAUCAUCUUUCUUGGUUCUUGUUUGCUUCUAUUUAUGAGUCUUAGAGCUUAUGGUCAUCUUGGUGACAAGCUCGAGUUCAUCAAAAACGGAGUUCACAUGCAUCUUCUAUGAUGUUUUCGAUGUUGGAGGUUUUGCCGGUUCUUCUCGGUUGGAGGUUUCACUCCUUUAUUUGUUGGCAUACCUCCCCUGCCUCUCUUACUAUAACCAGUCGCUGUUUUGAUGCUACUCGUCGUCUUGUAUCCAACAAGCUUGAGUUUGCUCAAUUCGGAGCUCAUAUGCAGAAGUUAUGGCAGUUCUGGUUUUCCGUGGAGUUUACUUGCUUUCGUGGAAGUGGCAUAAGGAUGGCGCCAGCGGUAGUACCGCUAGGCCGGAGCGGCAGUACCGCUUAUCGCCACAAGCAGUAGUACCGAUGUCCCACAGUGGUAGUACCACCCAUGGCCAUAAGCGGUAGUACGGCUCCGGUUCCGCGCUGGUUCCGCCUCAACUCGAGACGUGGUUUUCUCGUGUCGGCUUCAGCGGCAGUAGGAGCGGUAGUACUGCUCAUGUGCGGUAGUACCGCAGCUACCACCACCCCUAGUGUCUCUCAAUGGCCCUCCUCUCUGUUCCUUCUCCCUGUGCUCGUGGUAGGCGUUGUGCGCGGUCCCGGCGGUAGUACCGCCGGGCCGGAGCGGCAGUACCGCUUAUCGCCACAAGCGGUAGUACUGCUGUCCCAAGCGGCAGUACCGCUGUGGCCAACGGUAGUACCGCUGGCUCCAGUGGUAGUGCCGCUCAUACGGAUCCGCCACGCACUCUGUUUCGCUCCGCUCUCCGUGUUCUACCUCCCGGGCGGUAGUACCGCUCCCCUGAGCGGUAGUACCGCUCGUGCGCGGACUGAGCACAUAACGGUUGGAUUCGGGAGCUCCUAUAAAAGGGGGUCUUCUUCCCCAGUCAACCUUAUCCUUUAAGCUCGUGUUCUUCCCCCAUUGUUGACCUUCUUCGAGCUUGCUAACUCUCAAUCCCUCCAUGGUUUCUUGCUAGUUUUUGAGGGAAAAGAGAGAGGAGAUCUAGAUCCACAUUUCCACCAAUCACUUUCUCCUCUGUGUGAGGGGAACCCCUUGGAUCUAGAUCUUGGAGUUCUUGGUGUUCUCCUUCUUGUUCUUCCUCUCAUUUUCCUCCCUAGCAUUAGUUGCUUCGGUGGGAUUUGAGAGAGAAGGACUUGGGCACUACGUGUGCCCUUGCCAUUGCAUUUGGUGCAUCGGUUUGAGUUCUCCACGGUGAUACGUGGAAGCUUAUUACUCUUGGGUGUUUGGGCACCCUAGAGCUUGUUCCUCUUGGGUGCCUUGGCACCCUAGAAGGUUGGUGGUGUUCGGAGCUCAAUCAUUGUGGUGUAAAGCUCCGGGCAAGCGUCGGGGUCUCCAAUUAGGUUGUGGAGAUCUCCCCGAGCAAUUUGACAGGUACUGGUGACCGCCCCCAAGGGUUGCCAAAGUGUACGGGUUCGGUGACCGCCCCCAAGGGUUGCCAUUUGUACGGGUUCGUGACCACCCUCAAGGGUCCCUUAGUGGAAUCACGGCAUCUUGCAUUGUGCGAGGGCGUGAGGAGAUUACGGUGGCCCUAGUGGAUUCUUGGGGAGCAUUGUGCCUCCACACCGCUCCAAACGGAGAUUAGCAUCCGCAAGAGUGUGAACUUCGGGAUACAUCGUCGUCUCCACGUGCCUCGGUUAUCUCUUACCCGAGCCCUUUACUUAUGCACUUUUACUUUGUGAUAGCCAUAUUGUUUCUUGUCAUAUAUCUUGCUAUCACUUAGUUGUUUAUCUUGCUUAGCAUAAGUUGUUGGUGCACAUAGGUGAGCCUAGUUGUUGUAGGUUUUGUGCUUGUCAAAUUAACCGCUAGGUUUAUUCCGCAUUUGUUCAAGCCUAAACCGUAACUAUUUUAAAGCGCCUAUUCACCCCCCCCCUCUAGGCGACAUCCACGAUCUUUUACCUUCCACUGGGUGUAUACAACCCAUCAAGUGUUUUUCAACGUUGAGUUGACCUGCAUUUACUAAUUCCAAGAUUUUUCUCCUUGAUUUCCUUUGUUGCUUGCUAGAAGCAUGCUCCAGGUCAGAGGCCGUACUACUCCCCCUCUUUUUAGGAAUAGGGAGUUGAGUGGUUUUUAUUGGUACCUCCACUCUUUUUGGCACGUUUUUGGCCAGAUUUAAGGAUUUUGUAACACCUUUUAGAUUAGUAAAUGAAUCUGGCAGAUUAUUUGUAAGAUGUUGCAAAUUAAUGAUCUGCUGAACUUGAAGUUCAAUCUCUUAGGUACGUGGUGUUGGGGAACGUUGCAGAAAACAAAAAAUUUCCUACGGUUUCACCAAGAUCCAUCUAGGAGUUCAUAUAGCAACAAGUGAUCGGAUUACAUCUACAUACCUUUGUAGAUCACGCACGGAAGCGUUCAAAGAACGGGGAUGAGGAAGGCGUACUCGACGUGAUCCAAAUCACCGGAGAUCCUAGCGCCGAACGGACGGCACCUCCGCGUUCAACACACGUACGGUCAGCGUAACGUCUCCUUCUUCUUGAUCCAGCAAAGGGGAAGGAGAGGUUGAGGAAGAUGGCUCCAGCAGCAGCACGACGGCGUGGUGGUGAUGGAGCUGCAGUACUCCGGCAGGGCUUCGCCAAGCACUAUGGAGGAGGAGGAGGUGUUGGAGAGGGAGAGGGAGGCACCAAAGGCAAGGUUGAGAGGUCCUCCCUUCCCCCCACUAUAUAUAGGGGGCCUAGGGGGGGGCGCCGGCCCUAGGAGAUGCAAUCUCCUAGGGGGCGGCGGCCAAGGGAGGAAUCCCUCCUCCCCAAGGCACCUAGGAGGUGCCUUCCCCUUCUAGGACUCUUCCUUUAGGGUUUCCCCCACCCUAGGCGCAUGGGCCCUAGGAGGAAGUGGCGCCCCAUCCCACUUUGGGUUGGAUUCCUUCCCACUUCAGCCCAUGGGGCCCUCCGGGAUAGGUGGCCCCACCCGGUGGACCCCCGGGACCCUUCCGGUGGUCCCGGUACAAUACCGGUGACCCCGAAACUUGUCCCGAUGGCCGAAAUAGCACUUCCUAUAUAUAAUUCUUUACCUCCGGACCAUUUCGAAACUCCUCGUGACGUCCGGGAUCUCAUCCGGGACUCCGAACAACAUUUGGGUUACUGCAUAUACAUAUCCCUACAACCCUAGCGUCACCGAACCUUAAGUGUGUAGACCCUACGGGUUCGGGAGACAUGUAGACAUGAUCGAGAUCGCUCUCCGGUCAAUAACCAAUAGCGGGAUCUGGAUACCCAUGUUGGUUCCCACACGCUUCUCGAUGAUCUCAUCGGAUGAACCACGAUGUCGAGGAUUCAAGCAACCCCGUAUACAAUUCCCUUUGUCAAUCGGUAUGUUACUUGCCCGAGAUCUGAUCGUCGGUAUCCCAAUACCUCGUUCAAUCUCGUUACCGGCAAGUCACUUUACUCGUACCGUAAUGCAUGAUCCCGUGACCAGACACUUGGUUACUUUGAGCUCAUUAUGAUGAUGCAUUACCGAGUGGGCCCAGUGAUACCUCUCCGUCAUACGGAGUGACAAAUCCCAGUCUUGAUCCAUGUCAACCCAACAGACACUUUCGGAGAUACCCAUAGUAUACCUUUAUAGUCACCCAGUUAUGUUGUGACAUUUGGUACACCCAAAGCACACCUACGGUAUCCGGGAGUUACACGAUCUCAUGGUCUAAGGAAAGGAUACUUGACAUUGGAAAAACUCUAGCAAACGAACUAUACGAUCUUGUGCUAUGUUUAGGAUUGGGUCUUGUCCAUCACAUCAUUCUCCUAAUGAUGUGAUCUCGUUGUCAAUGACAUCCAAUGUCCAUAGUCAGGAAACCAUGACUAUCUGUUGAUCAACGAGCUAGUCACCUAGAGGCUUACUAGGGACAUGUUGGUGUCUAUCAUUCACACAUGUAUUACGAUUUCCGGAUAACACAAUUAUAGCAUGAAUAAAGACAAUUAUCAUGAACAAGGAAAUAUAAUAAUAAUGUUUUUAUUAUUGCCUCUAGGGCAUAUUUCCAACAGUCUCCCACUUGCACUAGAGUCAAUAAUCUAGUUACAUUGUGAUGAAUCGAACACCCAUGGAAUUCUGGUGUUGAUCAUGUUUUGCUCUAGGGAGAGGUUUAGUCAACGGAUCUUCUACAUUCAGGUCCGUAUGUACUUUACAAAUAUCUAUGUCUCCAUCUUGAACAUUUUCACGAAUGGAGUUGAAGCGACGCUUGAUGUGCCUUGUCUUCUUGUGAAACCUGGGCUCCUUGGCAAGUGCAAUAGCUCCAGUGUUGUCACAGAAGAGCUUGAUCGGCCCCGACGCAUUGGGUAUGACUCCUAGGUCGGUGAUGAAAUCCUUCACCCAAAUUGCUUCAUGCGCUGCCUCCGAGGCUGCCAUGUACUCCGCUUCACAUGUAGAUCCCGCCACGACGCUUUGCUUGCAACUGCACCAGCUUACUGCCCCACCAUUCAAAAUAUACACGUAUCCAGUUUGUGACUCAGAGUCAUCCAGAUCUGUGUCGAAGCUAGCGUCGACAUAACCUUUUACGACGAGCUCUUCGUCACCUCCAUAAACGAGAAACAUUUCCCUAGUCCUUUUCAGGUACUUCAGGAUAUUCUUGACCGCUGUCCAGUGUUCCUUGCCGGGAUUACUUUGGUACCUUCCUACCAAACUUACGGCAAGGUUUACAUCAGGUCUGGUACACAGCAUGGCAUACAUAAUAGAACCUAUGGCUGAGGCAUAGGGGAUGACACUCAUCUCUUCUAUAUCUUCUGCCGUGGUCGGACAUUGAGCUGAGCUCAAUUUCACACCUUGCAACACAGGCAAGAACCCCUUCUUAGACUGGUCCAUAUUGAACUUCUUCAAUAUCUUAUCAAGGUAUGUGCUUUGUGAAAGACCUAUGAGGCGUCUUGAUCUAUCUCUAUAGAUCUUGAUGCCUAAUAUAUAAGCAGCUUCUCCAAGGUCCUUCAUUGAAAAACUCUUAUUCAAGUAGGCCUUAAUGCUGUCCAAAAGUUCUAUAUCAUUUCCCAUCAAAAGUAUCUCAUCUACAUAUAAUAUGAGAAAUGCUACAGAGCUCCCACUCACUUUCUUAUAAACACAGGCUUCUCCAUAAGUCUGCAUAAACCCAAACGCUUUGAUCAUCUCAUCAAAGUGAAUGUUCCAACUCCGAGAUGCUUGCACCAGCCCAUAAAUCGAGCGUUGGAGCUUGCAUACCUUGUCAGCAUUCUUAGGAUCGACAAAACCUUCCGGCUGCAUCAUAUACAAUUCUUCCUUAAGGAAACCAUUAAGGAAUGCCGUUUUGACGUCCAUUUGCCAUAUCUCAUAAUCAUAGAAUGCGGCAUUUGCUAACAUGAUUCAGACGGACUUUAGCUUCGCUACCGGUGAGAAAGUCUCAUCGUGGUCAACCCCUUGAACUUGUCGAUAACCCUUAGUGACAAGCCGAGCUUUAUAGAUGGUCACAUUACCAUCCGCGUCUGUCUUCUUCUUAAAGAUCCAUUUAUUUUCUAUGGCUCGCCGCUCAGCGGGCAAGUCAGUUAAAGUCCAUACUUCGUUUUCAUACAUGGAUCCUAUCUCGGAUUUCAUGGCUUCCAGCCAUUUGUCGGAAUCCGGGCCCGCCAUCGCUUCUUCAUAGUUCGAAGGUUCACCGUUGUCUAACAACAUGAUUUCCAAGACAGGGUUGCCGUACCAAUCUGGUGCGGAACGUGUCCUUGUGGACCUUCGAACUUCAGUAGGAGCUUGAUCAGAAGUAUCCUGAUCAUCAUCAUUAACUUCCUCUCUAGUCGGUGCAGGCACCUCAGGAACAUUUUCUUGAGUUGCGCCAUUUUCCGGUUCAACAGGUAAUACUUCAUCAAGUUCUACUUUCCUCCCACUUACUUCUUUCGAGAGAAACUCCUUCUCUAGAAAGGAUCCAUUCUUGGCAACAAAGAUCUUGCCUUCGGAUCUAAGGUAGAAGGUAUACCCAAUAGUUUCUUUAGGGUAUCCUAUGAAGACGCAUUUUUCCGAUUUGGGUUCGGGCUUUUCAGGUUGAAGUUUCUUGACAUAAGCAUCGCAUCCCCAAACUUUUAGAAACGACAGCUUAGGUUUCUUCCCAAACCAUAAUUCAUACGGUGUCGUCUCAACGGAUUUCGACGGAGCCCUAUUUAAAGUGAAUGCGGCAGUCUCUAAAGCAUAGCCCCAAAAAGAUAGCGGUAAAUCGGUAAGAGACAUCAUAGAUCGCACCAUAUCUAAUAGAGUGCGAUUACGACGUUCGGACACACCAUUACGCUGAGGUGUUCCAGGCGGCAUGAGUUGUGAAACUAUUCCACAUUUUCUUAAGUGUGUGCCAAACUCGUGACUCAAGUAUUCUCCUCCACGAUCUGAUCGCAGGAACUUGAUUUUUCCUGUCACGUUGAUUCUCAACCUCACUUUGAAAUUCCUUGAACUUUUCAAAGGUCUCAGACUUGUGUUUCAUUAAGUAGACAUACCCAUAUCUACUAAAGUCAUCAGUGAGGGUGAGAACAUAACGAUAGCCACCGCGAGCCUCAACGCUCAUUGGACCGCACACAUCAGUAUGUAUGAUUUCCAAUAAGUUGGUUGCUCGCUCCAUUGUUCCUGAGAACGGAGUCUUGGUCAUUUUACCCAUGAGGCAUGGUUCGCACGUGUCAAACGAUUCGUAAUCAAGAGACUCUAAAAGUCCAUUAGCAUGGAGCUUCUUCAUGCGUUUGACACCUAUGUGACCAAGGCGGCAGUGCCACAAGUAUGUGGGACUAUCAUUAUCAAUCUUACAUCUUUCGGUACUCACACUAUGAACAUGUGUAGCAUUACGCUCGAGAUUCAUUAAGAAUAAACCAUUCACCAUCGGAGCAUGACCAUAAAACAUAUCUCUCAUAUAAAUAGAACAACCAUUAUUCUCGGAUUUAAAUGAGUAGCCAUCUCGAAUUAAACGAGAUCCUGAUACAAUGUUCAUGCUCAAAACUGGCACUAAAUAACAAUUAUUAAGGUUUAAAACUAAUCCCAAAGGUAAAUGUAGAGGUAGCGUGCCGACAGCGAUCACAUUGACCUUGGAACCAUUCCCGACGCGCAUCGUCACCUCGUCCUUCGCCAGUCUCCGCUUAUUCCGCAGCUCCUGUUUUGAGUUACAAAUGUGAGCAACCGCACCGGUAUCAAAUACCCAGGAGCUACUACGAGUACUGGUAAGGUACACAUCAAUUACAUGUAUAUCACAUAUACCUUUCAUUUUGCCGGCCUUCUUGUCCGCUAAGUAUUUGGGGCAGUUCCGCUUCCAGUGACCACUUCCCUUGCAAUAAAAGCACUCAGUCUCGGGCUUGGGUCCAUUCUUUGUCUUCUUCCCGGCAGCUUGCUUGCCGGGCGCGGCAACUCCCUUGUCGUCCUUCUUGAAGGCUUUCUUUCCCUUGCCCUUCUUGAACUUAGUGGUUUUAUUCACCAUCAACACUUGAUGUUCCUUUUUGACUUCUACCUCUGCUGAUUUCAGCAUUGCAAAUACUUCAGGAAUGGUCUUUUCCAUCCCCUGCAUAUUGAAUUUCAUCACGAAGCUCUUGUAGCUCGGUGGAAGCGACUGAAGGAUUCUGUCAAUGACCGCGUCAUCCGGGAGAUUAACUCCCAGCUGAGUCAGGCGGUUAUGCAACCCAGACAUAGUGAGUAUGUGCUCACUGACAGAACUGUUUUCCUCCAUCUUACAGCUGAAGAACUUGUCGGAGACUUGAUAUCUCUCGACCCGGGCAUGAGCUUGGAAAACCAUUUUCAGCUCUUCGAACAUCUCAUAUGCUCCAUGUCUCUCAAAACUCUUUUGGAGCCCCGGCUCUAAGCUGUAAAGCAUGCCGCACUGAACGAGGGAGUAGUCAUCGGUACGUGCCUGCCAAGCAUUCAUAACGUCUUGUUCUGCAGGGAGAACAGGUGCGUCACGUAGUGGUGCUUGUAGGACAUAAUCUUCCUUGGCAACUAUGAGGAUGAUCCUCAGGUUCCGGACCCAGUCCGUGUAGUUGCUGCCAUCGUCUUUCAGCUUGGUUUUCUCUAGGAACGCAUUGAAGUUGAGGACUACGUUGGCCAUUUGAUCUACAAGACAUAUUGUAAAAAAAUUAGACUAAGUUCAUGAUAAUUAAGUUCAUCUAAUCAAAUUAUUCAAUGAACUCCCCACUUAGAUAGACAUCCCUCCUGUAAUCUAAGUAUAACAUGAUCCGAGUUAACUAGGCCGUGUCCGAUCAUCACGUGAGACGGACUAGUCAACAUCGGUGAACAUCUUCAUGUUGAUCGUAUCUUCUAUACGACUCAUGCUCGACCUUUCGGUCUUCUGUGUUCUGAGGCCAUGUCUGUACAUGCUAGGCUCGUCAAGUCAACCUAAGUGUUUGCAUGUGUAAAUCUGUCUUACACCCGUUGUAUGUGAAUGUUGGAAUCUAACACCCGAUCAUCACAUGGUGCUUCGAAACAACGAACUGUCGCAACGGUGCACAGUUAGGGGGAACACUUUCUUGAAAUUAUUAUGAGGGAUCAUCUUAUUUACUACCGUCGUUCUAAGUAAACAAGAUGCAGAAACAUGAUAAACAUCACAUGCAAUCAAAUAAUAAUAGUGACAUGAUAUGGCCAAUGUCACAUAGCUCCUUUGAUCUCCAUCUUGGGGCUCCAUGAUCAUCUUGUCACCGGCAUGACACCAUGACCUCCAUCAUCAUGAUCUCCAUCAUCGUGUCUCCAUGAAGUUGCUCGCCAACUAAUACUUCUACUACUAUGGCUAACGCGUUUAGCAAUAAAGUAAAGUAAUUUACAUGGCGUUUCUUAAUGACACGCAGGUCAUACAAAAAAUAAAGACAACUCCUAUGGCUCCUGCCGGUUGUCAUACUCAUCGACAUGCAAGUCGUGAUUCCUAUUACAAUAGCAUGAACAUCUCAUACAUCACAUAUAUAUCAUUCAUCAUUCAUCACAACUUUGGCCAUAUCAUAUCACAAAGCACUUGCUGCAAAAACAAGUUAGACGUCCUCUAUUGUUGUUGCAAGUUUUACGUGGCUUAAAUAGGGUUCUAGCAAGAACGUUUUCUUACCUACGUGAAAGCCACAACGUGAUUUGUCAACUUCUAUUUACCCUUCAUAAGGACCCUUUUCAUCGAAUCCGCUCCAACUAAAGUGGGAGAGACAGACACCCGCCAGCCACCUUAUGCAAUUUGUGCAUGUUAGUCGGUGGAACCAGUCUCACGUAAGCGUACGUGUAAGGUUGGUCCGGGCCGCUUCAUCCCACAAUACCGUUGAAGCAAGAUAAGACUAGUAGCGGCAAGAAAGUUGACAACAUCAACGCCCACAACAAAUUGUGUUCUACUCAUGCAAGAGAACUACGCAUAGACCUAGCUCAUGAUGCCACUGUUGGGGAACGUUGCAGAAAACAAAAAUUUUCCUACGGUUUCACCAAGAUCCAUCUAGGAGUUCAUCUAGCAACGAGUGAUCGGAUUGCAUCUACAUACCUUUGUAGAUCACGCGCGGAAGCGUUCAAAGAACGGGGAUGAAGAAGGCGUACUCAACGUGAUCCAAAUCACCGGAGAUCCUAGCGCCGAACGGAUGGCACCUCCGCGUUCAACACAUGUACGGUCAGCGUAACGUCUCCUUCUUCUUGAUCCAGCAAGGGGGAAGGAGAGGUUGAGGAAGAUGGCUCCAGCAGCAGCACGACAGCGUGGUGGUGAUGGAGCUGCAGUACUCCGACAGGGCUUCGCCAAGCACUAUGGAGGAGGAGGAGGUGUUGGAGAGGGAGAGGGGGGCACCAAAGGCAAGGUUGAGAGGUCCUCCCUUCCCCCCACUAUAUAUAGGGGGCCUAGGGGGGCGCCGGCCCUAGGAGAUGCAAUCUCCUAGGGGGGCGGCGGCCAAGGGAGGAAUCCCUCCUCCCCAAGGCACCUAGGAGGUGCCUUCCCCUUCUAGGACUCUUCCUUUAGGGUUUCCCCCACCCUAGGCGCAUGGGCCCUAGGGGGAAGUGGCGCCCCAGCCCACUUUGGGCUGGAUCCCUUCCCACUUCAGCCCAUGGGGCCCUCCGGGAUAGGUGGCCCCACCCGGUGGACCCCCGGGACCCUUCCGGUGGUCCCGGUACAAUACCGGUGACCCCGAAACUUGUCCCGAUGGCCGAAAUAGCACUUCCUAUAUAUAAUUCUUUACCUCCGGACCAUUCCGAAACUCCUCGUGACGUCCGGGAUCUCAUACGGGACUCCGAACAACAUUCGGGUUACUGCAUAUACAUAUCCCUACAACCCUAGCGUCACCGAACCUUAAGUGUGUAGACCCUACGGGUUCGGGAGACAUGUAGACAUGACCGAGAUCGCUCUCCGGUCAAUAACCAACAGUGGGAUCUGGAUACCCAUGUUGGUUCCCACACGCUUCUCGAUGAUCUCAUCGGAUGAACCACGAUGUCGAGGAUUCAAGCAACCCCGUAUACAAUUCCCUUUGUCAAUCGGUAUGUUACUUGCCCGAGAUCUGAUCGUCGGUAUCCCAAUACCUCGUUCAAUCUCGUUACCGGCAAGUCACUUUACUCGUACCGUAAUGCAUGAUCCCGUGACCAGACACUUGGUUACUUUGAGCUCAUUAUGAUGAUGCAUUACCGAGUGGGCCCAGUGAUACCUCUCCGUCAUACGGAGUGACAAAUCCCAGUCUUGAUCCGUGUCAGCCCAACAGACACUUUCGGAGAUACCCGUAGUAUACCUUUAUAGUCACCCAGUUACAUUGUGACAUUUGGUACACCCAAAGCACUCCUACGGUAUCCGGGAGUUACACGAUCUCAUGGUCUAAGGAAAGGAUACUUGACAUUGGAAAAACUCUAGCAAACGAACUAUACGAUCUUGUGCUAUGUUUAGGAUUGGGUCUUGUCCAUCACAUCAUUCUCCUAAUGAUGUGAUCUCGGUGUCAAUGACAUCCAAUGUCCAUAGUCAGGAAACCAUGACUAUCUGUUGAUCAACGAGCUAGUCACCUAGAGGCUUACUAGGGACAUGUUGGUGUCUAUCAUUCACACAUGUAUUACGAUUUCCGGAUAACACAAUUAUAGCAUGAAUAAAGACAAUUAUCAUGAACAAGGAAAUAUAAUAAUAAUGCUUUUAUUAUUGCCUCUAGGGCAUAUUUCCAACACGUGGAUCAGAUGAUGAAAUGGCAUGAGCAUUCCAAUCAAUUUCCGGACAUUCUUUCUGGUACUUGAAAUCUCCCCAUAAUGUCGGAAAAUGUUUCUCAUCAAAUAUGCAAUCAGCGUGACGGGCUGUGAAUAGAUCCUCAGUUAGGGGUUCCAGGUACUUGAUAAUCGACGAUGAUUUGUACCCCACAUAGAUCCCCAACUUCCUGUGUGGCCCCAUAGAUGUUCGUUGUGGUGGUGAGAUCGGGAUGUAUGCAGCACAUCCGAACUUACGCAGAUGGGAAAUGCUUGGAGGAUUUCCAAGUACCAAUUCCAGAGGAAAAGAACUGUGAUAUGCAGUUGGCCUCAAUUGUACAACAGCGUGUAAAAUCAGCGUGACCACAACAAGAGGUUGGCAAGUUGCAAUUCGUCAACAAAGGUCUUGCAAUGAGUUUGAUCCUCUUAAUCAAUGUUUCAGCCAAACCAUUUUGUGUAUGGACAUAUGGAAUAGAGUGCUGAACUUCAAUCCCCAAAGCCAAGCAAUAAUCAUUGAAAGCACGUGAGGAGAACUCUACAACAUUGUCCAUUCAAAUUGACUUAAUUCGACUUUUAGGAUAAUGGGCUUGCAACUUAAUGACUUGCCUUAUUAUCUUGGCAAAUGCUUGGUUCCGUGUGGAUAGAAGACACACAUGUAACCAUCGUGUAGAUGCGUCAAUGAGAACCAUGAAAAUACCUGAAAGGUCCAGAUAAUGGCUGAAUUGGACCACAAAUGUCUCCUUGAAUACGUUCAAGGAACUGAAGUGGUUCAACUUGUAUUUUGAGGUGCGAGAGCCUCAAAAUUAGUUUUCCCGUGGCACAAGAUGUGCACACAAAAUCAGAAGAUUGAGAAAAUUUUGACUCAAGCAAAUUAUGACCAAUGGAAUUGCUAGUAGUUUUUCUCAUUAUCCCGAUUCCGGGAUGGCCUAGGCGAUCAUGCCAGGUUUGGAAUGCGUUAACAUUUUGAAAUAUUACUUUGUAUGCAAUAUAUUCCACGGGUUUGAUGUACAUACAGUACAAACCAGACGAUAGAGAAGGAAUUUUCUCAUGUACCUUUUUGCCAUAUGCAUGAUCUUUAGUAAAGAGUAGGUACUCUUUUUGUUGUCUUCAUGGGUUUCAAUGUGAAAACCAUUCUUACGGAUAUCUUGAUAACUGAUCAGGGUACGUGAUGAGUCGGGAUACAAUCAAGCAUCCUCAAUCGUCACUUGUGUACCGCUUGGGGGAGUGAAUAUGGCACGUCCAGUACCAACAAUCACUGUAUCGCGUCCAGCGAUAGUUAGAAUAUCUUCAUUCAUCUUUUUCAGAGUUUGGAAAUAUUUCAUCUCCCUUAGUACGAAGUUUGUGGUACCACUGUCCCCAAGGCAUGAUUCCUCUUUCAUCGGAUUGUCCCCGUAGAAAACGGCGGCAAAGUGCUCCCUCUCUUUUCCUCUUACUUUUCGCUCUCGCUGGUUGUCUACGUGCGUGAUAACGUAUUUGAGAAAAGUGUAAUCUCUGUCUUCUGUCGAUGGUUACAGGGGGCUUAUAUAUCUCCUGAAGAGACACGACGAUCCAGAGGAGACAUCGGUUUCAGGGAGAUGCGACGGUUGCGACGGACACAGGCUUCCGUGUGGGCGCAACCACUCAUCUGUCGGGCAAGGGAAGAUUUCCCUUUAGUACAGAUUAUAGUUUAAUCUUAACAGGCUUCAUGCUUUUGGCCGUCGUCCUUGACAUGUUCCCACUUAAUUGCCGCGAACUUACUCCAUUCCAUCUUAGCCUGAGCUUCCUCGCAUGUGCUAGCCCAUGGCAGAGUUGUGGGGCCGAAAUAAAUAUGAUUUAUUGUUCCUACGUUGUAUACUUCUCGUAUUGGUUGGAAUCAAAAAUAAACUGCAUUAAGUACAUCCAUCCCGAGACAAUAAUGGACGUGCAGAUUUCAGAGGAUUGCAUCACCGAGUGCUCCUAGUCCACUCCCUCGGAAUCAGCUAAGGCUGUUGUGUUGUUGUACAACAUGCAUUAACUGAAAACACUCCUGACAAUGGAGUGUCACUGGGUUGUGCGGGUACAUUUUGUUGCGUUGCGCGUCGUCCUCUCGUCUGCGCGCGUAGGCAAAUUUGACAAAUUUGACCUGUGGACGAAAUCAAAUCAUAGAAUGAACUGCCCGUGAAACUAUUUCACGCGGCAGACCUUUUUAUGUGACGCCCGACACGAAGGCGCCACACUACACUGUGCAACGCCUUAGAGAUAGGCGUUACACGUCUGACCAGCGUUGCACCCCAAACCGUCUAAAAAUUGCUAAGUUAUUGUGCAGAGCCUAAGAGCUAGGCGCUGCACUGUAUAGUGUGGCGCCUAGCUCUCAGGCGCUGCACACUGACUUAGUAAAUUUCGGAUCACACGUGUGUGACGCUGACCAGGCGUGUAGCGCUUAUCUGUGAGACGUUGCACAGUGUAGUGUGGCGCCUUGGUGUCGGGCAUCACAAAAAAAAGUCAGCCGCGUAAAAUAGUUUCACGGUCAGUUCAUUCUGUGAUUUGAUUUUGUUCAUAGGUCAAAUUUAUCAAUUUUGCCGUGCGCGUACCCUGCUUGUGUCAGAUUGUGGUGUCAAGUUUGGUCCUUUGAAUACGCAUAUACGUUUCAGUUUGCUCUCCCACGUUCGGCUAUACUCUAGUAACUAGCACGCUUAGCUGAUUCGAAUCGCGACGGCACGCGCGCCGUCAAUGCCCCGCGUGCAGCUGCCCCGCUGCGUUCAGGGAUGCACUUCUCGGUGAAACAUGUCCAUCUUCCCGCAAAAGAAAAGAAACGCAAACAUGCUCAACUGAUCCAAAAGAAACAAGGUUGCCAACAUAAUUUGAUAUACAUACAUACAUACAUACAUACACAUACAUACAUACUCAAAUAUUCUAGUAUGUACAUUACACAAAAAAUUUACUCAAGUUGCAAAUCUUGCCACAUAAUUAUUACUAUAACCUUGAAUGUGCAAGAAUUAAAAUUAUGGGAAAACAAACCUACAGAAUCUACCAAUACAAACGUGGAAAAGGUGUAAAAUUCUCUUCUUUUUUUUUACAUACAAAGAUUUCAAAUUAUUAGACCAAAUUUAGGUCUACUUUAUUUUGGCUAAACAUCCUUUUCAUCAAGCUGUCUAAUUGCUCACAUAUUAAACCAAAGCAACUGCGUAUUAAUUGGGCCGAACAUGAUGCAGCAGCUUCCUGUGAAGCAGUGGUAACAGUUGAUCAAUACAUAUAUGACAACAAUGUUACUUGCAUGAACUAUCAGCAAUGCCAGGCAAAAUUUGCUCCCGAGUCCUACUACCCACACAUAAUGAUACACACUCAAUCACUCAUACAUCCAUCUUCCGUACAACAUUCUACGAGAACGUCCGCCAAUACAAGGAGGAAGAAAAGGAAAAUCACAAGCAGCAACCUAUGAGUCUAUAAGCAGCCAGCCAUGGCAUAACAAACAGCAGCCAGGGAUCGUAAAAUGGCAUGUGGCUACACUUCUUGGCCAG